rnacentral:lncRNA from 1 species
CCAACAAAAACUAUUGUUUGUUUGUUAUUGCAUCAAUUGGUCUUUUUAAUGAAUUGUCAAAAUAAAUCAAACAUGCAUUUAUAAACUCUCUUCCUUCCAAACUCAAAUAAUCAUGAAUAAUUAAAACAAAAUAAUUCCAUAAACUAACAAUUCAUAAAUUUCUAAUGACUUAAUUUGACAAACACAAUGAUUUAUUACAAUGCCAUAUCAUAAAUCAAAUACAAAUUGUGUGUACACAAAAUGCAUGUGUCAUGAUAUUUUGUACUCCAUCUACACACCAAAACCUUCUCAUGUUUGUACAAUCUCAAUCUAUACACAUUUACAUCAAGCCAUGUAAACACAAAAAUACAAAACAAAACAAAACAUCACUAAACAAACAUCAUACUGUUGACUAUCUUGUGAAUGUACAUUUCAUAUGUAUUGUUCAACCACCCCAAACUUUAAAAUGGGUCAAAUCUACAAUGCCUAAUUCAUUUUCAUCAAAGUUUAUUAAACUAAGAAUUGCAUUCUAUUUGCCCUUUCAAAACAAAGCCAUCCAUAUUCUUCCUAGUCCAUGAGACUUUCAUCCACCUCAUUUUAUGCUCAAACAACUAUAAAAGAGGACAAUAAAAACAUCUGCACAUACUUACUUAGCAACAAUACAACACAAGAAAGAAAGACAAAAAGAAAGAGUACAUCUUCACAUGUCAUUCAUCCAUCUUCUAAGCAAAUUCAACCCACAAACAAGCACCAAAUAUUGAUGACUAAAUAGGUCCUUUUCAUGAUUCUUCAAUACCACAAAACCAUAUCCAACAGCGCGUGGGAGAGAAAACAAUAAAAUCAACAGUUAAAAUAAGAUCGAAUACAAAAAAAAAACAAAACAAAAAAAAACAAACAAACAAACAAACAAAUACAUAAUCCCAAGGCACUCAUUCAUGGAAUGUUCUUGUGCCGGAAUCUCUUCUCCACCCCCAACAUCAAUUUCCCUCCCUCCCGUCCUUCCCCCUUCCCUCCAACAUGCGAAAGCGCAACAGCCUCCGCAGCUUCGGGGCUUGUCCCGGCAAGUUGGGUCGGAGGUGCUUUCUCAGGUAUAAAAAACACGCGGGAUCCAGCGAAACGCUCGAUUGACCAGAUAUCGGAGAAAAGCACAGCGGGUCGAGACCUGCAACGACGAAGUGAAGCCCCCUCACGUUCAGCGACGUCGUUGUGCUGUGCGCCGCCUUUCGACAUUACAGCACCGCGUGCAGCGAGACCUGCUGCCUGGCGCACGGCCUUGAAUCCUUCCGGCGUAUAAAAGAGCUGUGCAGCCCAUGGCUUCCCAUCGCUCCAUUCACCAAGCACUCUCCAAGCCCCUACACAUCAGUGCGGCCACGACUCUUCUUGUUGCUCAAAUUCCCCAGGACAGGACAAGACAGCUCAGGACACGACAAGACAACCCAGCGAGCAACACCCGAGAGGGGACGGGAUUCCCAACCAACCCCAGCGGUGAACGAUCGUUGUCACGCAGUGGGCGCACAAUGGAGACGCUUGCCAAGCGCGUCGUGUUCGUGGCGCUCCUCGUCCAGGCCGCUCUGCUACCGAUGCUCUCCAUGGCGGCUGACGCCGAUCCCAUCCAGGACUUCUGCGUCGCAGACGCCUCCAGCACGCUCACCAUCAACGGUCUGGUGUGCAAGCCCGCGGCCGACGUGAAGGUGAACGACUUCCUGUUCAGGGGCCUCGACAAGCCCGGCAACACCGGCGGCCCCACUGCCAACGCCGUCACGCCCGUGGCCGCCGCUCAGCUCCCCGGCCUGAACACUCUGGGCAUCUCCCUGGCUCGCCUGGACUUCGCCAAGGGCGGCAUCAACGUACCCCACAUCCACCCUCGCGCCACCGAGGUCCUGGCGCUGCUGCAGGGGGAGCUGUACGUCGGGUUCGUCAGCACCACCAACAACACGCUGUUCGCCACCACGCUGUACGCGGGCGACGUGUUCGUGUUCCCCAGAGGGCUGGUCCACUUCCAGCUCAAUGUGGGCAAGGGCGCGGCGGUGGCCAUCGCGGCGCUCAGCAGCCAGAACCCGGGAGUGCAGCAAGUGGCGCCGGCGCUGUUCGCAGCCAACCCUCCCAUCAACGACGAGGUGCUGGAGAAGGCGUUCCACCUGAACCAGAACCAAGUCCAGCACAUCAAGGCCAGCUUCGUCAAGGCUUGAGCGUCACCACACAGCGCCGUCCAAUUGCUCUCGUACCUUUGAGCGCACGCGCAUCCAGGAGGUAGCGCAUUGCAACGCCUCGGAUUCGUCCCAAACCGACUGCACGCGCAGCUGGCAUGGCAUGGAGGCCGCGCGUCUGAGCACCACAACAGCACGAAGCAUAUGUACGCCCUGUUAGUUGUAGUUGAGGCUGUAGUGAGUGGAGAAGUAGGCUAGGUUUGCGCCAGAGUCGACGGCCGUCGCUGCGAACUGAGCUGUCGGCGUUGUUCUAUAGCCUAGCCUAGUGUAGUGUGCAUUCAUCGUGGGGCGACGUUGUGUCUCGCUUUCACGCCCUCCAUCAGCCAAGAUUCUAUUCAACCAAGUGCUGGCAUCACACCUGGGAUCCCAUUCCGGCCUUCCUUGAGCUGUUGUUUUGUGCAUGAUUGUGGGAGUGGACAAGAAGACUAGUCAAGUGUGAUGCAUAUGAUCGGUACGCUUGUGGUGGGUGCAACGCUUGGGAUUGGAGUAGUGCUUCGGAUUUCGUGAAUCAAGCGAUCCGGGUCCAGGGAAUUGACAAAGCCGGUCACAGGGGAACGACAGAAGUGUCUGGGGAGAAACGAUGCUGCUCCUCCAUGUGUCACAAUCUGGAUGUGGGUAAGAGCAUAUUUGAAAAAAUAAAAUUAAGCGUAUCUUUUUGAGAUAUGUUAUUUAAAUCAAAGUUUAUAGAUUAUUCGAUUCCAUACAUUGUAAAAUUUGAAUUAGUCAAAAUAUAGUAAUUGAUGGAAUUCUAAUAGGUUUUAAAUAUAUAUAAAGAAAUAUAAUUCCACUUGAAGAAGUAGGUCUAUUUUUUGAAAUAAUAUUGUCAAUUGAAGAUACAACUUAUAUAAUAAACCAAUAAAUAAAUUAUCAAAGUAACUUACUUAUAAGUCUUGAUUUUGUAGAAGAAGUAUAUACAUACCUUGAAACAAAUACAGCACAAGUAGAUGGUGUUUUUAAGACCAUCUCAUGUAAUGAAUCUAAUGCACCUAAGAGAGUUCUUCAACAAACAAAUAAAAAAUACAAUCAUUAUUACAAAUAUCUUAUAGAAAUAAAAAACCUAAUCCAUGAUUCAAAGAUAGCUACAUAUUCAUGGUUAAAAUAGAAUAAGAAGCAAGAAGCUACAAUGAAACAAUUUAAAAUAUUGGAUGGCAAGAUGCAAUCAAAUAAGAAGUAAAAUCUGUGUAAAAAAAUAAUAUUCAGAGUUUAAUGAAUCUACCUAAAGAAAAAAUCUCAAUUUUGGCAAAGUUUAUAUUCAAGACAAAAUUAAGACCAACUAGCAAUAUCAGAAAACUUAAAACUAUGAUUGUAGGUUGUGACUCUAAAUAAGAAGAAGGAAUAGAUUUCUUCCAAAUCUUUGUCUAUUUGGUUAGCUAGACAACAAUCAAAAUAGUCAUAUCACUAGCAAUAAGGGAAAAAAAUUAGAAAUUACAACACUUAGAUACUAAAAUAAUAUUUUUUGACAAAAUAUUCAAAAACAAAGUACAUAUGUUCCAAGUUUCAAAAAAAAUGAGAGUAAAGAAAAGUUUGUAAAUUAGAAUUGGUACUAUAUUGACUACAUUAGGCCCUCAAAGUUUAGUAUGGAUGCAUUGAUAACUAUCUAUAAGUUCAAAAUCUACAAAAGAACAAUAAAGAUCCUAACAUGUACUUCAAAAUCUAAGAUAUAAACUAUACAAUCGUAUUGCUCUAUGUAGAUGACAUAAUAGUUACAAAAAAUGAUACAAUAGACAUCUAGGUAUUCAAAGGAAGACUUAUAAAUACCUUUAAAAUGACAGAUUUGAGAGGAAAAAAACUUUACUUAAAAGUUAAACUAAAGCAAUUUGUUGAAAGAAUCUAUUUUCUUAAGAAACAUUACAUCUUAUUGGAUAAGUUUGGAUUAAUUCAUUGUAAAUCUUCUUUGAUACCAAUGGAUCCUAGAACAAAGCUAAAAUAGAAUUGAAACUCUCACAAUCAAUAAAAAACUAUAUCAAAAUCUUGUGGAAGAUUAUUCUAUACUAUAAUUAGUUACUAUAAUAUCUAAUUUGUAAUAGAUAAGGCAUUAAGAUUUAUCAAUAAUCCUCAGCUUAUUCAUAUAAUUGGAGCCAAAAAGAUAUAACAAUACUUUAAGGUACUCAAGACUAUGAAAUAUUUUAUCUAUUAAAAAAAAUGAUUCUUUUCAAAGACAUGAAUGUCAAAGAAAUGAAAUCUCAAUACACUCUUAUAUUACUCAAAAAGACUAGAAAAUCACAUAAAGAUGAUAAUAUAUUGAACUAGAAUGGCUAUUGCUAAAGACAAGAAAAAUAAAAAGUCUUGAAAUAAGACUGAAGACUAGACAGGCAUUGACAAGAGUGAAGAAGGUUUUAUUCUUACUUCUGUAUGUACUAUCUAAUUAGGAGCUAUAUAGGAAUGUCCUAUAAAACCUCCAACACAUGUUCAAUUUGUUAGACAUGUGUCUUAACUUACAAAAUAAGUUUCUUAUAUGUACACCACAUCAUUAGCUUGUAUCACAAGAUAUCCAUAUAUAUAUGAUACAUGAUUAGCUUGUUGGCUAAGUUUCCAACCUAACAAUCAACUACAAACAUGUAUAAAGUCAAAUAUGUAUUUAUGAAGCUUCUAAGAAACUUUGCCAUAAGAUAAUAUCAAUUCUAUUUAUAUUUAUUUUUUAUCUAAUACUUUAUUUUUAGAUAAAAAUAUAUAUAUAUAUAUAUAUAUAUAUAUAUAUAUAUGUAUGUAUAAUAACUAUUCAAAUAUGUAAAUAUUGAUUAGGUAGGAGACAUCAAUUUCCAUAAAUUGAUAUUAGGCAUACUAUACAAACUAAAGUUAAUAUCUAUAUGAUGGUCAAGGAAGCUUCAAACAUCAAUUACACUCUUACAAACAAAAAUAACAUAUUAUAUUUUAUCUAAAAAUGCUUGUAAUAUCACAUACUUUUAUAAACUGCUUUAGAAACUCCACUUAGAGAAUAAAAAUCCUAUCCUAUUGUUAUAAGAUAAUGUAAAUAGUAUUAGAUUGAUUAAAAAUCUUAUUAUAUAUUAAUAUAUAAAAUACAUAGAAUUGGACUAUCUGUACAUCAAAGACAAAUAAAUAAAUAAAAUAAUCAAAUUAUAAUAUACUUUUUAUCAUGGAUGUAUACAUUUACCUCAAUAGUUACUUAUAUGAUUAAAUAGAAGUAGGUAAAUAUAGAAUAAUUUCAUAAAGUCUUCUAGAAAAGCUUCCUAGAAGCUUUAUAGAUAUAAUUUUGACUUUAGAUGUGUUUGUAGGUUAGAAACUUGGCCAAAAAGUUAACCGUGUAUUGGUAGCUUGUGGAACAAGUUAUCUCCGUGUAAUAGCUUGUGGGACAAGCAAACUAUGUGGCAUAUACAUAGAUAACUUGCCUUGCAAUAUAAGACAUGUGGCUAGCAAAGUCAACACAUGUUGGAGGUCCUAUAGGACAUUGCCACGUAGCUCUUAGUUAGAUAGUAUAUAUGGAGGCAAGAGUGAAGCCUUUUGCACUCUUGUCAAUACCUUUCUAAUCUUAGCCUUGUUUCAAGACUUUCUAGUCUUUCUUAUUUUUGGCAAUAGCCAUUCUAGUUAAUAUUACAUCAUCUUUUGAGUGACUUUUUAGUUCUCUUUAGUGAUAGAAGAGUGUAUUGAGGACUCUCUUUCUUUGAGAUUCAUAUCUUUGACAGUUUGAGAAGAGUACUAACAUAUUUUUUCUAUCUUGUUUUAGAAGUAAGUGGAUUAUCCCACUUCUAUUAUUGUGUUUUGAAGGAUGCAGACUAUCUACCUUUAAAAAAAAAAAUCUUAUUUUUUAACACUGAUCUUUUUCUUAAAAAUAGUGGAUUACCCUUCUUUGUGGGAUUUGUUUUUAGAGGUUGCGGAUUAUCCUCCUCUAAUUUAACUUUUGAAUUCGUUUGAGUUGUCUAUGGAAGGAAAGAUUAUGGAUGCUACUCUCAAUAGAAUAGAUUUGCAACUAUAGCAGAUCUUCAUGAGCUUCUCAAUAUUCUAAGAGUAAAAAUCUCACAUAUUUCCAACGUGAAUCAUAGAAGUACUAUGCCUACACCUAUAGAAGAAGUUCAGAGUCUACAGCAAGAAGUUGUGCAAUUGAAAGAAGUAAGUAGAUCAAUGUCACAAUCAAAUUCAAGGAGUUUUGCUUCUACAAGUAUGACAAGGACAAGGAUUAGUAUGCUUGAGAAGUUUGAUGGAACAAGAACAAAAUUUCAAGGAUUUUUGCAACAUGUUAAAUUCUAUCUAAGGUUGCACCUUUUCCAAUAUUUUGAUGGAUUUAUCCAAGUCUGAUUUAUAGGCGUACUACUAUCAGGAAGUGCUCUCUCUUGGUUUUCACCUUUAAUGAAAAAAGAUUCAUGACUCCUUUAUGAUUUGAAUUCAUUCUUACAAGUGUUUACGACCACAUUUGGAGAAAGUAAUGAAGAAUAAGUAGUAGAGACCAAGCUUUUAUCCUUACGACAAGGAUCACAAUGAACCACUACAUGUGUUGCUAAAUACCAAAACCUUGCUUGUAACAUGGAUUGGAAUGACAAAGCACUUAUCAACCAAUUUUGAUAUUGAUUGAAGGAUAGUGUCAAAGAUUUAUUAUUAACAAUACCAAAAGUAGAAUCUUUAGAAUAAUUUAUUACUCAAGCCAUUGCAUGUGAUAACCAUUUAUUUGAAAAGCAUUUAGAAUAAAGAUUUGAUUAGAGAGGAACAAAUCAAGUAAUGGCGGCAGAUCCCAAGUUUUCUAAAACAUAUUCGUCAAAGCCGGAACCAAUGCAAACUAAUAUGAUACAUUUUAAACCUCUCACAAAGCAGAAAAAGACUCAAUGUCACCAAGAGGGAUUAUGUUUAUAUUGUGGAAAAGCUAAGCACAUUGCUCAAUAUUGUUCAAAGAAGCAACACAAUUACAAAAUGAGGAGCACAAUUACCAAAUAAGAUAAUGUGUCAGAAAACGAGUUUCUCCAAUUAUAAUAGGGACCGUUGUCGUGAUGUAACACAACUAAUAGGUGAAAGAGUGUGAAAAUUAUUGUAAUGUAGGAGAUCUUAGUUUAAAGUAUUAGAACAAACUAUCUUAGAAAUAUAGUUAAUAGUCAAAAGGAUAGUAAAGCAAAAAGGUACCAAUGUUGCCUUUUAGAAAGGUGACUUCUACUUACUUUGUAGGACCAUAAGUAAGACAAAACAAAGUAGAUUGGAAAAAUAAAUGAUAUGGACAUCUUUAAAAAGAAAUUAAGAAUAAAUUCUAGUAAAAUUUAUAUAGAAAAACUAGAUAUUGAUACCCGGAGAAGGCUAGUUAUGAACCAGGGUCAAAAUCAGACCAUGAGGUACAAAACUAAGUCUCGACGAUGACUCUAGGAUUCUUAUGCAGAUCAAAGAAGAGGGUAUGAUAGAAAAUUGAAUAGGAUUUUUAUGAGCAUUGAAUUUGGGCGAUUUGGAGUUUUUAUGACUUUGUAAGAGCAUUGCAAAUUCAAGGUUUGUUUUGGAUGACUUGGGUUUUAUGAAAUAAAAUAGGGUUUACGUUUUAGAUGAUUGCAAGAGUUUUGUAAUAGAUCUACAAGUGAAAUUUUGUGGAUUCAUGGUUAUAGUUGCGUUUAAUAUAUGUUAUGAAUUUGAGCUUAACCUAACAGUUGAAUUGAGGAUUACUGAAGUUUAAGUGGAUUAAGGUCUCAGAAAGUAGAAUUUUAGGUCCACUAAGGGUUUUUAAGAUUUCUUGCAAUCUACUAGUUGGAUUGGAAUGAAAUUUAUAUGAAAGGAUAUAAGAGCUAUUUUUCUAUGUGUAUGAGAAUUUUGAGAUCAAUCGAAUGGUGAAAAGGAGAGAUAUUUACUUUGAAAGAUUGGCAUCAAGGUUGGAGAAGGAGGCCGGCCAAUACUUGAGUACAUUUUUGAGGUUAUCAUUUAUUUGGUAAUUCCGAUCCUUUUCAAAAAAAAAUUCUUAUUUUCAACUUAUUUUUUAAGAAGUGUGUAAAAUUUGAGUUAAGAUCAACAGUUAAUUCAUUAGUUAUUGGGGUUUAAAUUUGUUAUAGGAAUUACUAGGAUUUGGUUAGGAUUUGAUUAGGGUUUGAUUCAGGGUUUGGUUUAGGGUUUAGGAUUUGGUUUAAAGUUUAGGAUUUGAUUUAGGAUUUAGGAUUUGAUUAGGAUUUGAUUUAGAGUUUAAGAUUUGGUUUAGGAUUUAUUUAAGGUUUAAGAUUUAGUUAAUUUUUGGCCUAAAGUUUGAAUGAAGUUCAAUAGGAUUUUAACUAGGAUUAAAUUAAGAUUGAAUUGAGAUAUAUUUGAGACAUAUUUAUAAUCAUUCUAAUAUUUCUUUAAGAUUUUUUAUUAUUUCUUUGAAAUUUCUUUGAAGUUUCUUUGAAUUUGAUUAAAGCUUAUUUAGCAUUAUUAUGGUCUAAUUAGACUUUAGUUAGUAUUCUAUUAGAGUUAAGAUUUUGUUAUUGUAAUUUCCAUUCUACCUUCCACAGCCACGUACCCAGAGCAUUCUCAAGCAAGACUUUACAUAUUACGACACCGUGUGGGUGGAAUCAUGUGCAAUACCUAGUAAAGGUCCUAUCUUCUCUUUAGAUCCUUCACCUUAUUUUAUAAUAGAAGUAUAUUUAGGACCUAAUAAUCACAAAGUCUUUGCCUUGUUAGAUUUAGGAGCCUCAGCAUGUUUUAUAGACGAAGAUUUUGCAAAAAAUCAAAAAAUAUCUUUAGAGAAGAAAUUAAAUCCAUACAUGUAGAAAUCAUAGAUGGUCAUUCAUUGUCUUCUGGAAAUGUUAUCUAUAAAACUAUUCCUUUACAUAUAGCAAUUAAAGAUCAUAACAAUAUAGUAGUAUUUAAUAUAAUAAAAUCUCCUUCUAAUCUGAUUAUUAUAGGAUUAUCAUGGCUACAAAAAUAUAACCCUCAAAUAGAUUGGAUUUCUCGUAACCUUAAUUUCAUGAUAGUAUAAUCCAAGAUCGCAUUCGUAAAAUAGAAGUAUGUAAGUCGAGUACGUCCAAACUUUUACUAGUAGGUGCAAAAGCUUUCAUGCAUGCUGCAAAAGAAAGAUCAUCUUUUGUUAUAUAUGCUACAUCCAUUUCUAAUGGUGAAACAAUGUCGAGUGGUAUUUCUAAGCAAUAUUAAGAAUUUCAAGAUAUUUUUGAAAAAAGAAAUGCAGAUAUUCUCUCCGAGCAUCGACCUUAUGAUUGUUCAAUUGAUCUACAAGAAUGAGCUCAACCACCAUUUGGACCAAUCUAUAGCUUAUCACAGAAUGAGUUGGCUGCAUUAAAAGAGUACAUUAAUGAGAAUUUGGCAAAGAAAUUCAUAUGUUAUUCUAAAUCUCUAGUUGGGGCUCCUAUCUUAUUUGUAAAGAAAAAAGACGGAUUUCUACGAAUGUGUGUGGAUUAUCGAGGACUCAAGAAGAUCACCAUCAAAAAUUGAUAUUCUUUGCCUUUGAUUUCAUGACUUCUUAACCAACUCAAUCAAGCAAAGAUCUAUAUCAAAAUAGAUCUACAAAGAGUAUACAACUUAGUUUGUAUCAAAGAAGGAGAUGAAUGGAAGACUACUUUUUGAACUAAGUAUGGACAUUUUGAAUAUAAUGUCAUACCUUUUGGAUUCACAAAUGCACCAGCUCCUUUUCAACAUCUUAUGAAUGAUGUUUUUUGUGAAUUUUGUAGAUGAUUUUGUUGUUUGUUAUUUAGACGAUAUUCUAAUCUACUCUAAGAACAUAAAAGAACAUGAGCUUCAUGUUCAUUACAUAUUACAGAAACUUACAGAUGUAGGAUUAUAUGCCAAGUUGAAAAAGUGUGUAUUCCACACUACUCAAGUUGUCUUUUUAGGAUACAUCAUUUCCAACAAAGGCCUUAUGAUGGAUCCCAAGAAGGUUCAAACUAUCAUAGAUUAGAAGAUUCCAAGAACAAUACAAGAUGUGUGAUGCUUUUUGGGCUUUGCUAAUUAUUAUCAAAUCUUCAUCAAGAAUUUUUUUCAAGUUGCAACUCUACUUACAUGUUUGACUUCUAAAGACAAACUUGAGUGGAAUAAAGAAGCAGAAGUAUCAUUUGAUGCUUUAAAGAAGGAAUUUAUUUUUGCACUAAUCUUGUAUUGCGUUGAUUUCUCUAAAGCAUUUUUUAUGGAAAUAAAUGUGUUAGAUUUUGCUAUAGGUGCCAUGUUGUCAUAAAUGGGAACAAAUGACAAACUCCACUCAAUAGCUUUCCAUUCAAAGAAAUUUUCAACAAUCAAGAUUAAUUAUGAGAUCUAUGAUAAAGAGCUCUUUGCAAUCGUGGAUACAUUUUAAGAAUGGCGUCAUUAUCUAGAAGGCACCUCAAGUCCAGUUACCGUGUAUACAGACCAUAAGAACCUUGAGUACUUCAUGUCAACACAUGUCCUCAAUUGUCAUCUAGCCCGUUGGAGCAUGUCUUUAUCUAGAUUCAAUUUCAAGAUCACUUAUCGACCUCGAAAAUAACAAGGUCUAUUGGACGCUCUUUCUAGACGUUCUUAUCUUGCACCAAAAGAAGGAUAUGUAUCUUUUGAUCAACAAAGAUCAAUUCUCUUGAAGCUUAAGUAUUUUCAUCUUCGAUAUAUAAAAUCAACAUUGACUAUUGAUUCAACAUUUAUGAAGUAAAUUCAAUCAAACAUGUCCUCUAAUCUUAUUAUUCAGGAUAUCAAAGAUACUUCUUCUAAUUCUUAUGUACUUCUAAGUUUGAAUUCAAGAAUAAUCUAUAAUAUUUUAAAAGAUGCCUAUAUGUUCUAGAAGGUAGAGCUCGAUUACUUUUUCUUCAAGCUCGUCAUGACUUUCCAGCAGUAGGACAUUUUGGAUACAAUAAAACUUUAAAACUAAUAUCCAAGGAUUUUUGGUGGCUGCAAAUAUGGGAGAAAAUCAAAGAUUUUGUACAAUCUUGUGAUGUUUGCUCAAGAUCAAAAACUCCUCGUCAUUGACCUUAUGAACUUCUUUAGCCAUUAUCCAUUCCAGAACAACCAUGGUCUUCUGUUUCUAUGGAUUUCAUCUCGGAUCUUUCAAUUUCAUGUUCUUAUGACUCUAUAUUUGUGAUAAUAGAUCGUUUUACCAAGAUGGCACAUUUGUAUUAUGUACAAAAUCUAUCACAGGUGAAGAAAUAGCUAAGCUUUUCAUUGAUAAUAUCUAUCGCUAUCAUGGAUUACCAAAGGAUAUUAUAUCGGAUAUGGAGACUCAAUUUGUAUCAAGAUUUUGGAAAAUCCUAUUCAUGAUUCUAAAAGUGGAUAUAAAGGUUUCUUCAGCUUUUCAUCCUCAAACUGAUGGACAAACGGAAUGGAUAAAUCAAAUUUUGGAGCAGUAUUUGAAAUGUACUAUCAACUAUCAUCAAGAUGAUUGGACAACUCUUUUACUAUUGGUAGAGUUUGCAUAUAAUAAUUUCGUACAUUCUUCCAUUCAACAAACACCUUUCUUUAUCAAUUAUGGUUAUCAUCCACAUCUUGAUACUUUUGACUUUUCAAAAGUUGAUAAUCCUACGACAGAAGAUUUAGUAAAUUGCUUGUCAAAGCUACAUACAACAAUGAAGAUACAAUUAAAAGAAGCUCAAGAAUGACAAAAGAUCAACACGGAUGCGUAUUACAAGGAGCAACUAUAAUAUAAUAUGAGUGAUAAGAUAUGGUUACUUUGUCGUAAUAUCAAGACUACUCGUCCUUGUGAUAAAUUACAUUAUCAUAGGCUGAGACCUUUUCCUAUUUUUAAAUAAAUCAAUUUUGUUGCCUAUCCAUUACAUCUACCGGAGUCUAUGAAGAUCCAUCUUGUAUUUUACAUAUCUCUUCUAGAGCUAUAUAAGAUAGUAAAAAUCUUGGGAAGAAGACAAAUACCACAUCAUCCUAUAGAAGUGGAUAAUAACCAAGAGUUUGAAGUGGAAGAAGUCUUAGACCUAAGGUGGCACUGAAAUAGGUUGGAAUAUCUUGUUCAUUAGUGCGGAUAUGAUAUUAAUGAACGCACAUGGAGCCAUCAAAGAACCUUGUAAAUACAGCAAAGAAAAUUGAAGUCUUUCAUCAACGACAUCCAUCAAAACCAAGAUAAAGAAUAGCAAACCUUUGCUAUAAAAGAAACAAGAUCAAAAGAAAAUAACAUUCUACCUUCUAUCUUUCAUUGUAGCUUCUAUGUAUUUGUAAUGAGAUGGAGUACCAACAACCAGGAGAUUAAACUUAAGAGCUUUUAUUUGCAAACUUACCAGAGGAGACAUUGCGAUUGUUACAACCUUCAAGACGAUGGAAUCGAGAUGAAGAUCCUCAAGAACAACAUGUCCUUCCUCGAAUAGAUGGCAAGAUAUAUCAUGUUUGGUAUCACGACUUUGGAAGAGACUCUCGAUGUUUAGUGAUUUUAUUAGAGGUAGGAACAACUUCUGACAAUGUUCCAAAUGCUUUAUUUGAAGGAAGUUAUGAAGACCUUAACAAUGACUAAAUAAUAGGAUGGUCUUCUCGCCUUGAUAUGGGACACUAUAGAUGGUUGAGAGGACCUAUCAACCAUCUUCGAAAAGAGCAAAGAUCGGAGUAUGUAGCAAAUACAAUUCGACGCAUCUUGGACUUCUUUAACAUAUGAAGACCGCUCCUUGUGGAACUCGUCCCAAGAAGAGGGGGGGUAAUGUCAAGGACAUAUAUAUUUACCUCAAUAAUUACUUAUAUGAUUAAGUAGAAGUAGGUAAAUAUAGAAUAAUUUCAUAAAUUCUUCUAGAGAAGCUUCCUAGAAGCUUUAUAGAUGUGGUUUUGACUUUAGAUGUGUUUGUAGGUUAGAAACUUGGCCAAAAGCUAACUAUGUAUUGAUAGUUUGUGGAAUAAGCCAACUACAUGGCAUAUACAUAGAUAACUUACCUUGCAAGAUAAGACAUGUGGCUAGCAAAGUCAACACAUGUUGGAGGUCCUAUAGGACAUCGCCACGUAGCUCUUAUUUAGAUAAUAUAUAUAGAGACAAGAGUGAAGCCUGCUUCACUCUUGUCAAUGCCUUUCUAGUCUAAGUCUUGUUUCAAGUCUUUCUAGUCUAAGUCUUGUUUCAAGUCUUUCUAGUCUAAGUCUUGUUUCAAGUCUUUCUAGUCUUUCUUGUUUUUGGCAAUAGCCAUUCUAUUUAAUAUUACAUCACCUUUUGAGUGACUUUCUAGUUCUCUUUAGUAAUAAAAGAGUGUAUUGAGGAUUGUCUUUCUUUGAGAUUAAUGUCCAUGACACUUCUAUAUAUUUUCCACAUACUAAUAUUCUUAUAAAGCCUGUAGAGCCAACUAAAUUUAUUGAAAAUAAAAAAAUUACUAAGAUACAAAUAAUAUCAUCAUAGAUAUAGAAAAAAUUAUUAAUUCUUGUUAAAUUUAAUUUAGCUUUUUUAACAAAUAUAUGCCUUUGCUUCUAUGCAAGUUUUGAAUUUUUAAAAUUUUAUACUUUAAUACUUCUAAAUAGGCUUUUUAUACUUUGACCAAGACUUGAAGAUACCUACACUACUAUCUCAAUGUAUUGUGUAGAAGUUCUAAAUAGCAAACCUUGAAAAAAUUCUAUCUCUCAACAAACAAGUUAAAUACAUCUCUAUCAAAGAUACAACUACUAUUACAAGGAAUUCAACAUCUUCAUUGUCUUUGCUCUAUGAUAUAAGCAACAAUAAUCAAGACAAAAAUAGAUCAAAAAUUAACACACAAACUUAUUAAAGAAUCAAUAAUAUAAGCAAAUUACAAUAAAUACUACUUGCAUCAAAAUAAAAAAAUAUAUAAAAAAAUGAAUUGAUUGUUUGUACAAAAAAAAAAUAACUAAAAUAAGGUGACGUAAAAAAAAAUGAUUCACUAGAAAUAAGUCUUUUAUUAUGUAUUUGAGCUAUUCUAUGGCAUUGUAGACAUCAAAACAAAAAUAUACUAUAAAAAAAAUUACAUCACUGAGAGAAGGUGUUGGCAAAUUCUAACUUGUAUCACUCAAGAAGAGAGAACUCACUUUGUACCAUCUUCUAAUGAGUACAAGCACUUUGUGUUUUUAUUCUAUAUGAUUCUACUAUACAAUUAAGUCACCUUAUUUAAUCCACAUCUCUUUUAUGAUGAGUUAUCAUAAAUUCAUUCAUAUUAGCCUCAAUAUCAUUGUAUCUUUUUAUAUUAUCAUGAUUUAUCCACAUCAUCUUUUUAAUUCCAUAUGACUCUUUGGAUGUACAUAGGAUUAGAAUAAAUUAUGAUUACAAUAAUAGAGCACCAAGGAUAAAUUGAAAUAAACUAGUAGGUUUUUUUUCAAAUGAGACAAAUACUCUUGAGCUUUAUUUUAUGCAAUAGUGACUAUGUGAUGCAUUAGUAGGAAUUAUGGUAUUUAAUAUCUCUAUUUUCAUGAAUUCAAGAGUUGAGUUUUGAAUCCAAAGUAGUAAUUAGCUCAUGUGUCAUUAGGAUCAAUUUUUUAUAGUCUUGUAUCUAUAAUCUACUUUCAUAGGAUUGAUGAUUUUGGCAAUGUAGACUUUGAUUUAUAAAUCCAAAAAUCUCUUACUAUCACAAUUGUAUUACAUAAGGAUUAGAAUAAUUAAGUGAUAUUUAUUUAUAAAUAGUAGCUUUGAUAAUUAAAGUGUGUAUUUUUGUAGGUACUUGCUAUCUAUCAAUUUCAUAUAUUAGCUCUAUUUUCUUGUCAUUCCUAAAUAAAUUCAUUUGGUGAUUUCAAAAAUAAGGUAUGAAUGCUCGUAACUUUGAUUGCUAUAGAUUAUUUGUAAGGAUGUGCAAUAUAAAAUUGAUUUAAAAAAUUGGUUUGAUGAAAAAAUCUUAAAGAUUAUUUAUUUGUAAAAUAAAUAAUUUGAAUGCUUGAAUCCUAUUUAAGACAAUAUAUGUAAUAUGAUGGAAUUAUUGUGAAUUUGUGAUAGAAUUUAAAAUAAAAAUCUUGUAUGUAAUCAUGGACCUUUGUUAUCAUACUCACAUUGAAAUAUCUUUGGUUGAAUGUGGUCUAUAUUAUUAUAUGGUCUAUAUAUUUGAUUUAAAACUACUAAAAAAAAUUAAUAAUAUACAUUAAUAUUGGAGUUAAUCUUUAUACCUUAUAUUUUUUACAACAACUUCUAUUAAUUUUUAUAGGAAAGUCUUUUCCAUUUAAUAUUUUAAGAUAAAUUGAAUUAUUAUCAAAGACUUCUUUCAUAAUAUAAGGUCCAAUUCAAAGUGCAUCAAAUUUAGUUAGAAAUUCUAGUUUCCUAGGAUCUUAAAUUAUUAUUCAUAUCCCUAAAGAAAGAACAUGUUUUUUUUAUUUUUUUAUCAAAGAUCUCUUUUUGUCUUUUGUAAGUAGUUUCUAUGUAUUGAGAUGCAAAUUUUUAAAUUUUACAAAGGCUUUCAAAAUACUCUAAUUAUUCAUUCUAAGAUUGAGAAGUAUCCAAUCUUUUAUCAAUAGCAAUGUAUAAAGAUGGAACUUCAAAUUCUAUAGCCAAAUGGCUUCUAUUCUAUAUACUAAAGAAAAAAGUGUAGCUCUUAUAGAAAUCUUAUAAGUAAUUCGGUAAGUCCAAAGUGCUGAAGUAAAUUUAAGAUCCCAAUCAUGCUUAGAAUCCAUCAUUGUUUUUUUCAAUAUCCAAACUAAGGUUUAAUUGAUUCUUUCUAUAAGACCAUUUAUUUGAGAAUGAUAGGGUGUCAUGGAUAUAUAUCUAUUGUAAUUAUUACUUAAAUAAUAUGAAUAAGUAGAAGUAAAUAAAAGUAAAUUAAUUUCAUAUAACCUUCUAAAGAAGCUUCUUAAAUCCUAUAAAUACUAUAAAUAGAUCCUAAAUAAAUAGUAUAUAUAGAGGCAAAAAUAAAGCCUUAUUUACUUUUUUUAACUCUUUUUAUAUUUCUAAUUUAGUUUCGAGAGUCUUUAGUUUCUUUGUCUUUUAGCAGUAGCCAUUCUAGUUUCUUUUUUAAUAUACAUAUUUUUAUUUUAUUUUUUCAUAUUUUUUUGAAAAAGCCUCACUUAAAUAUUUUCUUUCAUGAAGUUCUUGUCUUUGACAAAUUGACAAGAGUACACUUACAAUAUUAGAGCUUUGUCUUUUCUUGAUUAAAAAUAGAUUACCUUUGUGAGGAUAAACUCCACUCUUCAACCCAAAUUAUAAAAUGGCCUUAAUUAAAAAUUGCUUACAAUAGGUGGAAUAAAGUAAAAGUAGCAAGAAAAAUAAAAAUAAAUAAAAAAUAAAAAAUAUAAAAACAAGUAAAACAAGUACAAUCAAGCAAUUCUACACUACAAAGUUGGUUAUAGUUUGUUUACUGAAUUUUUAUCUAAUAAAAAGUAAAAAUAAAAAACAAAAAAUAUAUUUUUAGUAAUAUAAUUUUUUUAUCUUUUCAAUGGUAUAAGAAACAUAUAAAUCCAAGUUACUAUGAAUAAAUUAUGAAGGUUUAAAAAUGAUAAGUAAAUAAAUUAAAAAAUUAAAUAAAUAAUUUUUACCUCAAAGAUAACUUGCUUAAGAAAUCAAGAGUUCGAGCCUCACCAAAGCUCAAAAGUAGUGUAUAUGGAUAUCUAAGAAAGGCCACAAGGCCUUAGUCUUAUCUUCCUAACUAUCUUCAAGGUGCUACAUCCCAUAUGGAACUUGUACACCUCCCUUCUAGCAAGGAAUACACUAGCUGCUAAUCCUCCUAUUUUCUAUUAGUAAAACCAAUAAUUUUGCAUUUUUUACUUCACCAUGGUAUUUAAAAACAUCCAAUUAGCCUAAAAACAAUGUGAGGCCUUCAAAUCUUACUCCAUUUCAUAAUAAUAGCUUCCAAAGUGGUAAAAUCCAUUUUUAUCAAAGUGUUGGAAAUUACUCUAAAAAUUCCUAAAUAAUUCUAAAAAUUACUAUAAUAUUUCUAUAAUAUUAAAAUAAAUUUGAAUCUAUAUUUUUAUACCUUGAUAAUCUUUUUUAGUAAUAAAAUAAAUUUAAAUCUACUAUAAAAUCUUACUAUCUAUAUAACCAAUUAAAAAGAUAUGAAGUUCUUUUUCAUGCUUCUUUUAAUUACUAAUUAAUAUUUAUAGUUUUUUUUAUAAGUAAUACAUAUAGAUAUAAGGCCAAUAUAAAUAUUGAUCUUGAUAAUCUUUAAUACUCAAUAAUAAGUAAAAAUAUUAAACCAACUAAAAUAAUUACCUCCAAGAAUUACUAAGAUUCCAUUUCUACAACUAACAUUCUAAUUUUCUAUUUGUCCAAGGAUUUCUAUAAUAUUCACCAUAUAUUGUAGUUUUAAGCAUUUUAAAUGUAUCUUUUCAUCCUAAAAAAAUUAAUGAGUUGAUUUAAUGACUCACAACUAUUUUUUCUUAAUAAGAUGUAAGUGUAUUGAGAGUUGUAGAUUACCUUCUUCUAAAUUAAUAUUGUCCUUAUUUUUUUCUUUAUUUUCAAGUCAUCUCUUCUAUUUGUCUUGAAAAAUAUCAGAAAUAUUUUUUUGUUUAAGUAUUAUCAUAGUAGAGUCUUUCAAAAUGAAAAGUGCAAUUAUAAAAAUAUAAGAAUAAUUGAAAAAGUUAAUGCUUUUAAUGCAUCAACUUAAUUUAUCGCCAUAGAGAGUAACAAAAAUAGCAAGGAAAAAAAGAUAUAGAAAUUAUUGGAGCUACUUCAACAUCUAUAUCAAAUCAUGUUCUUUUUUCUAUGGUAGAAUAUCCUUCUAAUAUUAGAAAACAAAGGAUUACACUGUCCAAAAAGUUUGAUGGUAUAAGAUCCAAGUUUCAAGGAUUUAUGAAUUAAGUGCAACUUAUGAUUGAACUUCAACUCUAAAGCUAUCCAAUUUCAAGAUUGCAAGUUAGAUUCAUUAGUUUACUCCUUUUAAGUUUAAUAUUUUUAUAGUUUUUAUCUUUUUUUGAAUAACAAGAUCUAAUAUUGGAUAAUCUAGAGGUUUUUUUAGUGAAGUUUUUAUCUAUGGAUAGAAAACAUGAUAUAAUUUAUAUUCCAACUAAUAAGAUCUAUAUUAUGUGACAAAACAAUCAAUUGGUGAUGUUAUAUAGUUCAUAGUUCUAACAACUUGUGAUUGAUAUCAAAUAGGAUGAUGUUACAUUUAUUAGGUAAUUUCUCUAUGGAUUACAAUAUGAAAUAAAAAAGUUGAUGCUCAAUUUACUUGAUCUUCAAACAUUAAGUCAAGCAAUUGACUUUGAUGUAAGGUGUGACAAUUGACUUUUUGAAUUUCAAUUUGAGAGUCGCACAAGUAUAUCUUAACACUACUAUAAUUCAAUGACAAUGCCAAUGUCUUUUUAACACAUAUAUUCAAAAAUAGAGGAUAUACAAAUUGAUGCGAUACAUUUAAAAUUUCUUAUUAAGCAAAAAAAGACUUAUUAUUGUCACAAAGGAUUAUAUUUGUAUUAAAGAAAACCUAAGCACAAUGCUCAAUAUUAUUCAAAUAAGCGACGUAAUUAAAAAAUGAGAAGUAUUGCUGUCAAAGAAGAUAGUUUGUUAGAAAACGAGUUUGUCUAGCUACAAUAGGAACUAUGCAGCUAGAAUCUUAUACAACACCUAAUGAAGGUCUUAUUCUUUCUUCAAAAUCCUCUCUUUGUUUUACAAUAAAUAUUAUUUUAAGACCUAAAUAUUACAAAGCCUCUGCCUUAUUAGAUUCAAGAGCCUCAGUGUGUUUUUUAAAUGAAGAAUUUGCUAAAAGAUAUAAUAUAACUUCAGUGAAGAAAACUAAACCUGUUUAUACAGAAGUUAUAGAUGGUUAUGUAUUGUCUUCAAAAAAUGUUACUCAUGAAAUUCUUCCUAUAAAAAUAACAACUAAUGGUCAUAAUAGCUUUGUAAUAUUUAAUAUCAUUAGAUCUCCUUCUAAUCCAAUCAUUUUAAUUUUAUCAUGAUUAAAAAAAUAUAAUCCAAAAAUAGAUUAGAUUUUUUAUAGUUGAAAUUUUUUUAAAAGUAUAACUAAAAGUAUAGUUGAUCGAGUAGAAAGUCAUAAGUCUAGUGCAAUUAAAUUUGUAUUUGUAGGUGUAAGAACUUUCUUGUCUGCUGCAAAAGAAGGAUUACCUUAUAUUAUUUAUGCUUCACCUAUUUUUAAUAGUAGAAAGAUUUCUAAUAGUAUUCUAAACUAAUAUCAAGAUUUUUAAGAUGUAUUUGAAAAGAAAAAUGUGGAUAUUCUAUUGGAACAUCGUCUCUAAGAUUGCUCAAUUGACCUUCAAGAAAGAAAUCAACCACCGUUUGGACCAAUUUACAAUUUAUCAUAAAAUAAAUUGGUUGAACUCAAGGAAUAUAUUGAAAAAAAUCAAAUUAAGAAUUUCAUACACUAUUCCAAAUCUCUUCUAGGAGCUCCAAUUUUAUUUGUGAAGAAAAAAGAUGGAUCAUUACAGAUGUGUGUUGAUUAUUAAAGAUUCAAUAAAAUUAUCAUAAAAAAUAGAUACUUAUUAUUUUUGAUAUAUGGACUUUUUGAUCAAUUGAAUCAAGCUAAGAUCUAUACAAAAAUAGAUCUAUAAGGAACAUAUAAUCUAAUAUACAUCAUAGAAGGAGAUAAAUAAAAGAUUGGAUUUUGAACAAAGUAUGGAUAUUUUAAAUAUAAUGUCAUGCCUUUUGGACUUACAAAUGCACCAGCAGCUUUCCAACAUUUAAUGAAUAAUUUUUUUUCGUAAUUUUUAGAUGAAUUUGUUGUUUUUUAUCCAGAUGACAUCUUAAUCUAUUUUAAAAAUAUAAAAAAAUAUGUAAUUUAUAUUUAUUGUGUGUUACAAAAACUAAGAGAUAUAAGACUCUAUGCCAAGAUAAAAAAGUGUAUAUUCUACACUACUUAAGUCGACUUCUUAAGAUACAUCAUUUCAAAUGAUGAACUUAUGAUGGAUUCUAUGAAAGUUUAAAUUAUCAUGGAUUGGAAGUUCUCAAAAAUGAUAAGAGAUGUCAAAUAUUUUUUGGGAUUUGCCAACUACUAUUAGACCUUUAUUAAGAACUCUUAGGUUGCAGCUCCACUUAUAUGUUUGGCUUAUAAAGACAAACUUCAAUAGAAUCAAGAAAUAAAAAUAAUAUUUGAAGCUUUAAAGAUAAUCUUUAUUUCUGCACCAGUCUUGUAUCAUGUUUAUUUUUUUAAGCCAUUUUUUAUAGAAAUAGACAUAUCAGACUUUGCUUUGGAUAUUAUAUUAUUACAAAUGUAAACAUAAGAUAAACUUCAUGCAAUAGCUUUUCAUUCAAGAAAAUUUUUGAUAGUUGAGAUCAACUACAAGAUUCAUGACAAAUAACUUCUUGCAAUUAUGGAUUUAUUUAAAGAAUGGUACAAUUAUCUAGAAGGUACUUCUAUUUCAGUCAUUAUUUAUAUCAAUCAUAAGAAUCUUGAAUAUUUUAUGUCAACACAUAUGUUGAAUUGUUGCUAAGCUCGUUGGAGCAUGUUUUUGUUAAGAUUUGAUUUUAGGAUCACUUAUCAAUGCAAAAAAUAAUAGGUUUUUUCAAACAUUCUUAUCUCACAUGAAAGAAAAAAGAUGCAUCUUUUAAUCAAUAAAAAAUAAUUUUCUUAAAGUCAAAGCACUUUCAUCUUUGAGCAAUAAAAUCAAUAUUGAUUAUUAAUUCAAUGCUUAUCAAACAAAUUAAAUCAAGUAUGUCAUCUGAUCUUCUUAUUCAUGAUAUCAAGAAUCCUUCUUCUAAGUCUUUCAAAUUUGAAUUCAAAAAAAACCUACACUAUUUCAAAUGGCGCCUAUACAUUCAAAAAGGAGAAGCACAAUUAUAUGUACUUCAAGCAUAUCAUAACUUUCUAGCGACCAGAAAUUUUAGAUAUAAUAAGAUUUUAGAACUUCUACCUAAAGAUUUUUAGUGGCUAAAAAUGUGGAAGGUAGUGAAAAACUUUUUUCAAUCAUAUGACAUUUGUUGAAGGUCAAAAACUCCUUGUCAUUGAUCCUAUGGACUUUUUCAACCAUUAUACAUUCUAAAACAACCAUAGUUUUUUGUUUCUAUGGAUUUUAUUAUGAAUUUCUUAUCUCAAAUUUUUAUGACUCUAUAUUUGUGAUAGUAGAUCAUUUCACCAAUAUGGUACAUUUUGUACCAUGUACAAAAUCUAUCACAUGUAAAAAAAUAGCCAAGCUUUUCUUUGAUAAUAUCUAUCGCUAUUAUGGAUUAUCGAAAGAUAUUAUAUUAGAUAAGAAAACUCAAUUUGUAUCAAGAUUUUAGAGAAUACUUUUCAAGGUUUUUAAAAUAGACAUUAAAUUAUCUUCAAUUUUCUAUCUCCAAACUGAUAGACAAAUAGAGCAUGUAAAUUAAUUUUUUGAGCAAUAUUUAAGUAGCAUCAUCAACUAUCAACAAGAUGAUAGAACAACUCUUUUGACAUUAGUAAAAUUUAUUUAUAAUAAUAGGAUACAUUCUUCUAUAUAAUAAAUUCUUUUUUACUAAUUAUAGAUAUCAUCUAUAAUUUGAUAUUUUUGUUUUUUUAAAAGUUGAUAAUUUUGUGGUAGAAGAUUUGACAAAUCAUUUAUUUGAGCUACAUACAACAAUGAAGCUACAUUUAAAAGAGACUCAAGAACAACCAAGGAGCAAUGUAGAUGCUUAUUGCAAGGAACAAUUUCAUUUUCACAUUGAUGAUAAGAUAUGGUUACUUUAUCAUAAUAUCAAAACUAUUUGCUUUUGUGACAAAUUGGAUUAUCAUAGACUUGAACCAUUUCCUAUUUUUCAACAACUCAAUCUAGUUGCUUAUUGAUUAUAUCUAUCAAAGUCUACGAAAAUCCAUCAUGUAUUUCACAUGUCUCUUUUAGAGCCAUAUAAGCAAUGAAUAUCCCAAGAAGAAGAUUAAUACUACUGCCUCCUAUAAAAGUAGAUAAUAAUCAAGAAUUUGAAGUGGAAGAAGUCUUAGACUUAAGACAACUUUGAUAUAAGUUAGAAUAUCUUAUUCAUUAGCUUCAAUAUAAUAUUAGCAAAGACACACGGGAGCUAGCAAAAAAUCUUAUAAAUGUAGUAAAGAAGGUCAAAGCUUUUCAUCAAUGGCAUCCAUCAAAAUUAAGAUAAAGGAUAGUAAAUCUUUGCUAUAAAAAAAAAAAAAAAAACACACACACACACACACACAAUUCAAAAAAGAUUUCAUUCUAUCUACUAUCCUUAUUUAUAAUUUUUGUAUGAUUAUAGCAUUAAAGAGAUAAAAAAACCAAUAGCCAGCAGAUUCAAUUCAAGAACUAUUAUUUUUUGACUUCUUGGAUAAGACAUUGCAAUUAUCAAAGCCUUUAAGAUGACAUAAUAUGAAUGAAGACCUUCAAGAAUGAAAUAUUUUUUUCUUAAAUAAAUGGCGAGAUACAAUGUGUUUGAUAUCAUGACUUAAAAAGAGACUCUUGAUAUUUGGUGAUUUUAUUGGAGGUAGAUACAACUCCUGAUAGUGCUACAAAUAUUUUGUUUUAAAGAAGUAACAAAAGUUUCAACAAUGAUCAAAUCAUAGGAUGAUCUUUUCAUCUUAGAAUAGAACAUUAUUAAUGGUUGAUAGGACCUAUCAACUAUUUUUUAAAGAAACAAAGUUCAAAGUAUAUGACAAAUAUAAUUUGCCGUAUCUUAAAUUUCUUCAAUAUGUAAUCACUAUUCCUUAUGGAUCUUGUUCCUAGAAAAGAAAAUAAUUUCACAGAUAUAUAUAUCUACUAUAAUUAUUACCUAAAUAAUAUGAAUAAGUAGAAAUAGGUAAAAGUAGAUUAAUUUCAUAAUACCUUCUAAAAAAGCUUUUUAGAAGCUUUUUAGACUCUAUUUUGAUUUUACAUGUAUUUGUAUUUGAUUGAUAGGUUAAAAACUUGGUCAACAAGCUAACCACAUACCACAUGUAUUGGUAUCUUGUGGAACAAGCUAACUAUGUGGUAUUUAUAUAAAAAAAUUAUGUUACAAGUUAAGAUACAUGUCAUGCAAAGUCAACACGUUUUUGGAGAUCCUAUAAAACGUCACCACAUAGAUCUUAGAUAGAUAGUAUAUAUAGAUGUAAGAGUGAAGCCUUCUUCACUCUUAUUAAUUCUUUUCUUGUUUUCAGUCUAAUUUCAAGAGUCUCUAGUUUCCUUGUCUUUUCUUAAUAGCCAUUCUAGUUUUUUUUUAAUAUACAUACUUCUCUAUUUUUAUUUUGUCAUAUUUCUUUGAAAGAGACUCAUUUGAUUAUUUUCUUUCAUUGAGUUCUUGUCUUUAAUAUAAGAAGCUAUCUUCUUAUAAUUGAUGAUAAAAAAUGUGUUGAUUUUUUUAAUAGCUUUAUUUCAAAAACAAAUAUCAUUACCACUCACAAAGAUUUUUUGAUAAUUAAAAUAAGCUACGCUAUUCUCAUACAAAAAUAUUAUAGUUUAUUUAGCAUCUGCCUUCUUUAUAACUUUUAUUUCUAUGUAUUUGAUCAAAUAUUCUAUAGCUAUAAUGAUAUAUUAUAUUUGACAUGAAGAUGGAAGAUAAACAAGUCCAAUAUAGUUUAUAUCCCAUUUUUUAAUUGGAAUAAGUAAGAAUGAAGGAUUUAAAAGCAUUACAAGAUUUAAAUCAUUGGGUGCAUAUCUUUGGCAAGUAUUAUAAGAUUUUACAAAAGGUUCUAAAUUAAUAAAGAAUAUAAGCCAAAAAUAAUUUAUUUUAAGAAUUUUUUGAGCUAUUAAUUGAUUAGAGAAGUGUCCACCAUGAGCACUUGAAUGACAAGCUUCUAAUACAAGUGAUACUUCUUUAUAAAUAAGACAACAUUUUAAAAUUCCAUCAAUUUCUUGACAAUAUAGUUUUUUGGCUAUAAGAGCAAAAUGGAUACUAUUCACUCCAAUCUUCUAUCUUUUAUUUUUUUGAUAAGAUAUUGGAUAGUUGUUGAGUACUUAAAAAUUUAGUAAUAUGUUUAUACUAUGUGGGUGCCACCAUAAAAUAGAACAAAUGAAUAUCAAGAAAUUCAUCAUUUAUAUUUUGGGUACCUAUUAUUGUAGAUAAUUGUAAAAGGUGAUCAAUUUAUUUGUAUUAUUUUCCUAGUUUGUAUUGAACUAAAUAAUCAAAUUUUAUAAAAAAUAAUAUCCAUCUUGUUAAUCUACAACUUAAAUCUAAUUUAUUUAUAAUAUAUUUAAAGACUAUAUAAAUUACAAAGAAAAUAACCUUAUUCAUUAAAAGAUAAUUGUAGAAUUUUUUGAUACUAGAGAUUGUAAUCAAAUAUUUCCAUUCUAUGAUUGUAUAAUUUUAUUCAGUACUUCUAAAUUAUUUAUUGUCAAAAGUAAUAAGGUGAAUUAUAUUCUUAUCAUCUGAUUGACAUAAGGUACUACCUACUAUCAAUUUAGAAGCAUCACAAUAAACAUAAAAAAAUUGAUUUUGGUGUUGUGGUAGAAAGAAUUUGCUUUAAGAAGCGUUGGACUUUUGGCUAUCACUCAAUACUCAAUUAAGCUUUUAGAUAAAGAAAAAAACAAGUCCAUAUAUAAAAUUGUCUCUAAAGAGACAAUUACAUCAAUAUAUGAGCCUUAAGUACCAAAGAUCACCAAAAAUGUAAUAAAAAUAUUAUAAAAAACUUAUAUAUCCUUAAAGUAAAUUCUUUCUAAACUUUAAUAGCUCAUAUCUCAUAAUUGGACCAUCUAAACAAACCUAAAUUUUAUAUGAACUAUUGAUGUUCUUUUAAAAACUACUACAAUAAAUUUCAACUAUAAAUUCAUUAUGGAUCUUGAGAUAUCACCAAAAUUCUAACAAUAGCUUUAAAUCCUUGCUUACAUACAUCCAAGUACAAAUUACUUCAUAUUUCACAAACUAAGUAUUUAAAUAUUAUAAAAUUUUGAUAUAUAGCUUUUUAAUUCAACAAUAUACACUUUUGGAAAUUUUGAGCCAAAAAUUCACCUGAAAACUUAAGAUAUGGCUCCAACCAUUACUAUCAACAAAACGACUUACUUACUACCUCUGAAUUACAUGUGCUACCUUCAAUACUCUAUAACUUCUUCAUAUAAAGUCCAAAUGCAGAAAUUCUUUCAUAAAAGAUAUAGAUCUUAAAAUCACCCUUAUAGUUGUAUCUUUUAAUAUCCAAUAUCUAUUAUAGUACUCCUCAUAUCUUUAAAAUAACAAUAGUAUGUCUUAAAAAGACACCUUAACUUCAAACGGCUAUAACUUCAUCACUUUAAUUCCAAAUUCUCUAAAUUUUUAUACACAAAUUGUAGUCCAAAUUCAAGCUUAUAAUUUUUUCUUUUUAUUCUUAAAUUUCUCUUUUGAAGUCACUAAAAUGCUUAUUAUGGUCUCCCAGAGCUUGUUGAAUGUCCAUUGGACAUGGCCUUCGGCCAAUAUGAAUAAAGAUCUUUACCUUUUGCCUUCAUCAGACCAUGCCUUGAUUUCAUCUUUUUCCAUAAGCCUCCUAGUAGUUUAGAUUUCAUCUUUAGGCUUCCACCUUUUCUUAAAGCUUUAUAUUAAACACACAAAUCUCAUAUAAUUUAAAUAUUAUAAUAAAAAUAGAUAAAGUUCAAAAUAAAGUUUCUUAUAUCUAUUUUUUGUUUAAAAUUUAAAAUAAUUUUUUUUAUAUCUAAGAAGGAAUUUUAAAAUAAAGUAAAAUUUGUCAAUUUAGAAAAUAAAGAGGUAAUUUGCUUUAGUAUGGCACAUCCAAUUUUAUUAGCAUGUAUAAGCUUUAAUCUAUACAAUUAGAAGGAUGAGGAAAAUUUACCAAAUAUUUAGAAAGUCACCUCACCUUAAGUACAGAUGAAAUAAUGCAUGUCAACUUUAUAGAUGGUUUUGCUACUUUGCAAAGUAAUGAAAUAGAGGUAGAUUUAGCUACCUUGGUAGAUGACAUUAAAUUUGAAGAUAUAUUUGGAGUACACUUUGACGGCAUUCAAAGUCAAGAUUCAAAUGAAUUAAUUACAGAAGUUGACUUUAAUCUCUUCUUUUAGUUUCAACACACUUUUAGUAGUCUUACAGUUUGAAAAGAUAUAGCCAUAUGUCUUUAAAUACCAAAUGAGUAAUAUAAAAGAUCCAUAGAGCAAUUAUAUGUCCAUAAACUUGAUUAUAUAAUGAAAGAUGUAUUUUUAAGAAUGAAGAAUCAAAACUUAUUAAAGUUUAAUUCCAAUUAAUAAAGACUAUACAAUGACAAUAAAAAAUUACUUUUAAUAAAUUUUAUAAGGUUAGAAUUCUAAGGCUUAGCAUAUUGGUCUUCUUAUAAGAUGCUAAGAAAUUAGAUUUUUCAAGAAAAUUUGAUAUCAUAUGGUUGAUUCCUUGUUUGAUUAAAAAAAGACUUCUCAAACAAUUCAAUUUAAUUCUAUUAUUCAACAAAGAAAACUUUCCUACUAGAACUUCUAGCAAUCAAUGUAAGAAAUAUAAAGUAUGAUCUUUAUUACAUACAUGAUCAAGCAGUUCUUCCUUAAAUUUAUUCUUACUCAAUUUUUUAAAAUAAUAAAUUAUCAAAACUAAAUAAAAUUUAAGAAGCUAAAACAUUGGAAUACAAGACAAAAAAUAGUUAUGAUCAUUUGUCUCAUCAUCUUCUCAAUUUAAUUUCUUUACACAACAAUCAUAGAUGUUUUAAAUAAAAAAGAAGAAUAUUUGAUUAAAAUUUUAUGAUUUUAAAUAUAAUAUCUAUAUAUAUAUAUAUAAUAAGAUUUAUUAGUAUCUAUCAAAUUUAGCCAUCUAUAGAUUAUAGGAGUGUUGGUUAAAUGAGAGGUUGCUUUAAUAUUCCAAUUUUAAAUCUAGUUUAAAAAAUUAAGUUAUCUCAAUAAGCUAGUGAUAAUACAAGAAAGACCAACAUUAAAUAUCCAAUGGAUAUAUAGGCCUUUCAAGGCUUAAUGUCAUAAUCUUCUAAAGUUGAAGAAGAUUCCAAAGUAUUAACUUUUUAAUUUAUUAGUUAAAAAUACAAACGUCAACCAUCACUUCUUUCUAUUCUUUUCAUAUUUAAAUCAAUUCAAUUCAAGACAACAUGAAGGCUUGCAUCUAAUGUGACUUCAUUUCAAAAAUUAGAACACAUGAAUAUAUGGUCAAGACUUGCUUACAAACAAUAGUCCAUCUUUGAAAAGAAUGCUAAGCAUUAACUAUAUAACAAAGCAAAAAGGAUGGCUUAAUUUAUUGCCACACAAGAAGUCCUUUGUGAAGUCAAGGAUAAGAUAAUAAUGACAGACAUUAAGAUCCAACAACUAAGUGUAGUUAAUAAAUAUUAGAAGGAGGCUCAAGAAGAACAAAUAGAAUAAAAAGAAGUUAUUGACAUGUUAGAUGUUGAAUCCAAGUUUUAGACUAUCCACACUAUAUAGAUAUAUAAUACAAGCAAGAUUAUUGCACAAUGUGCUCUAAUAUUAGUCCUUAAGUGUUCUCAACUCUUACAUUAGAAUCCAUCAUUUUGAAGAGAUUUUGGUCUAGAUAGCAAUAUCCAAACUAGGCUUAGAAGACAAAGAUUUGGUAUAGGCACCAUAGCCUAGCAACGCAUCAUCUUUCCAUCUAUGCUUCAUUGUCACUCUUUUUAUCAAUUCUUUGGGAGCAAUCAAAGUUUUUGGAAAAAAUCCUUUUAUAUUACCUCACUUUAACAUUCCUUCUUUUGGAUAAUUAGAGCUCUUAGACUCUCUCUCUAACAACAACAAAGAAGAAACCUUUACUCUUAUUUAAUCAAGUAAUAUUCAAUUUUUGGUGUUUCAUUGAAUUAUACUUUAAUAUUUAAUAGUGCAUCAUAAAUUAGAAAUUGAAAAAAUUGACCUAUGAAAAGAUGAGCCGUGCGACUGAGCAAAAUGAAUAUUUUUUCAAUAUUUAAAAUAAUACUAGAUCUUGUACAAUAUUGUAUUUUUUUUUUUGAUAAUAGAAAUUCAUACUAGAAUUUGUAAUAAAAUUGUCACUAAUAUAGUUUUUGAUGUAUGUAAAUAGAUUGAGAAUAAUUAAUACCUUGAUUUUAGUUGAUAUUUUUUUACAAAAUUGCAUUACAUAUACAAAAAAAUAUUUUUUUUGAUGCCAUAUUAUAAUUACAAAUUUAAUAUUAGAUUCAAAUUAACCAUGGAGAUAAAAUAUUAUAAGAUAGGACAAAAGAUAUAUAAAAGAAAAGCAAGUACUACAAACAUAAACAAGACAAAAGUUGGGAGACAAAUGGAAGAUUAGAAUCUUGAAUAAAGAUGAAUGAAGGAUAAGAUGAUAUUUCAUUGUAUUUAAGCCAAGGACUUAGCAUAGUAAGGACAUUCCUUCUAGUCGUAUGAUAGUUAGAUUAAAGUAGUAGUAGUCAAGGAUUAGUAGCAGACCAACUCCAAGUCUUUGUACUUGUAUAGAUCCUUGAAUUUCCUUAUUGCAAUAAAGCCUUCUCUUGUUCCAAUCUUAUUGCAUAUUGAUCUUAUCAAGUAUGAUAGUAUGAAGAUAACAAGGAAGAAGAUCACUCAAAUCAUACAAUAGACUACUAUGGAUUAAUAUUGAAAUUAUUGAAGAUUCAUUUGAGAUUUUGCAAGGAUUUAUUCUUUGAAGCCUUAAUUCUCUAAAGCUAUACAAAAUGCGGUAUGACAUCAUAGAAUUUUGUUUCAUUUAUAUAUAUAUAUAUAUAUAUAUAUAUAAAAAUAAAUAAAUAAAAAUAAUACUUGUAGAUGGUGAGAAUGAUUUUUUUUCUAAUGCAUAUAUAUGUUUUAAUGCUUUUAUUGGUCUAAAUCUAAAAGAUUGUAUAUAUAUUCCUUCACUUGUUUUUUUUACUAGAAUUUGGACCUUUAAAAACAAAGUCUAAAACCUUUGGUUAUUUUCAUCAUUGAAUUAAGAAUGUUAAAUUACUUAAAAACUUUAAAUUUAUCUUGAAAUAAUAGAAAAUAUAUAUAUAUAUCUAUAUAUAUAUAUAUAUAUAUAUAUAUAUAUAUAUUUUAGAUAUUCAAAAUCUUGUUUAUUUUAGGCUAUGUACUUGCAUGCUUUAAAGUUCUACAAUUCUAUAAAAUAUCUUUAUAAUUAACUAAGUUAUUAGAAUGUCUCUUCAUCUUUUCUUGUAUGAAAAAUGGUUAUUUUAACUUUGCUCAAUUUUGAAAGAUCUUCAAAUAAAAAUGCACAAUUGUGUUAUUUUAUUUUGUUGACAUCAAUAAAAACACUACAAAUAAAUCAAUCAACCUUUAUUUCAAGAGUCUUAAUAAGUUUCUUUGAUUUCAUCUUUAAUAUUUUUGGUUGUUAUUAUUUUCACAAAUUCUUUUCUUGCAUUCCAAAUUGGUGAUUUUGUUGUUUAUAGAAAGAUCAACUAAAUAUUUUAUAAAUACAAAAAAAAUUAAAAAAUAAAUGAAAACAAUCAUCUUUUGCAUAGCUAUAGAACCAUACUAUAAUAUCACAAUUCAAAAAAUAACACAUGAAGAGGUGCUAAUAGUUUUGUAAAUCAAAAAUUAUUUAAGAUAUGGUACAACUACACUUAGUGAAUUCACAAUGAGUGCAUUCAUAGAUUAAAAUAUUGCACAAGAAGAUGAAGAAGCCAUGAAUUAGAAUAUCAAUUACUAAUAAGUAACUAAAAUUUUUAUAAUAAUUAUAACAAUGAAAGUUAUUCUAAGAAUUUCAAAAAACAACAAAAACCAAGACAAAUAAAAAGAAUAACACUUGCAUACACAACAACCAGAAUCUAAUCUCUUGUUUGUUUGUAUGUUUAAUCUUUUCUGCAUUUUGCUUAUACUCACUUUAUGAAUUCCAUAGUAAAGAAUCAAAGGUUUUGGUACAUUUAUAGAAAUUGAGUUAAAUCUUCCAUGAUAUGUUUGUUUUUUGUAGUUCAAGUGUUUUGUAGGUAAAGUAUGGUUUAAUCAAAUGUUUUUAAUAGUAAUAGUUUUAAAAAAUCUUGUUGGAUGAUAGAUUUUUUCUAUUCUUUUUUGAAGUUUUACCAUGUAAAUAUGUAUUUUUAGAAUGGAAUACUUUGGUACUUUAUGUAUGUAUUUAUUUGUAGAUGUUAAUAUAUGUAUAUAUAUAUAUAUAUAUAUAUAUAUAUACCUUUCAACUAUAUAUGCAAUACAAAUAUUGGUAAUGCAAUUAUUUGUGUAUAUAUUUUUAUAAUUUUUUUGUCUUCUUUAGCAAAAAAAAAAUGAAUAUUUUUCCAAAUAGGAUACAUACUUUAAUUGAGAUCAUGAGGUGAUUGUUGAUUAGAAAUAAUUAGUGUGGUAAUGGUUUAUCUUAUAUUAUAUUAAUUUCUUACAUAUCUAUGUGUGUGUAUGUUUAUAAAUUUGGCAUUUCAAUAUUUGAAUUCAUUAAAAUACUUAAGUGAGCGGAGAUAGGGGCAUCUACUCUUCUUAGAAUACGAAUAAACACAAAUGUUAAGUAGGUGCCACGGUGACGGGGUGCGGUGAGCCUGGUGUUUCCAAACUUAUGGCAACCAAUACAAAACAAAAUUUAAAGCCACGGUUGAUGUCCCGGUGCGGAAAUAGGUCGUCUCUCUCUCGCGGGAAUUAAUUCACUAAUCUCAUUACUCGCUUUCUUUUGCAGGACUAGGGUUUCGCUUCACUCUGUUGUCGCCGACCCCGCGCGCUUGCUUGCUCGCUUGCUCUGCAACGAACACUUAAUGUUCGUUUUAUUCGCAAAGGCUGUAGAGCAGAGCAAGCCAGUGCUGCAAUGACGACCUUACUUGAGACAUCCGAGGAGGAGCCGACGAUGGCCGUGGCCCGCACUAUAGCGGAGCUUGCAUGGUCUCAAGGCGGGCCUGAUGUGAGCUUGUCUUCCUUCUGCUUUUAUCCUCCUGUUUUACCCUGUAUCGAGCAUUUUCACUUGCCUUUUGACAAGUUGAAGACAUAUCGGACUGCAAUCUUGGGCUGUUUCUGUGAAGAACGUGGUUCUCGACGUAAUGGAUGGAUUUAUAGCUGUUUCGGGGGUGGAUUUUGUUCUUGGAAUGACAACUUUACUGUGGUUGAUGAAGCCUUUCGGUUUGCUUGUCUUUUAUGCAGAUUGCGGGACCAGCAGUUGCGCAAUUCUGUAAUGAAGCUCAAUCAUAUUUGAUGGAUAAAUGGUAUCCAGAUCUUGUCAAUUUGUUGCUCACAUCUGCAGACCUCGUGCUUGCGAAUGCCUCCGAGAAAGGUAUCCGGCAUGAGUUUUAACUUUUUCUGUAUUGUUUCAUAUCAUAGCGAUCUUUUUUGUUUGUUUGUUUGUUCAUUUAUUUUAUUUAUUUUCUUUUCUGGAGUUACAAAUAGCAGUGCAAUUUUUCGUUUAGAAUGAAGUUUUCCACAUUCAUGAAUUUUUUAGUUUCUGCAUUGUUUGUUUCGACUUCCUCGCGAAUGUCGGUUAUGCAAUCCAACUUCAUUGAAGUAUUGGAAUCUUCAAUGCCGCACGAAUUCCAGUGGAUUCGUUACAUAUUGGAUUUAAUCUUUGCGCUUGUGCUCUGCAGAUAUGGAAUGCAUUUUUACUGUCAUCUCCAAUUUGGUAUCGAAAGCACAAAGCCCAGAUGACGCACUUGCCAUGGCGGACCAAAUUGCGAACAAGCUCACUGUUCAGCCCAUUGACAAGCCAGUCAGUCGACUUAAAAUGUACUUCAUCUUCCUCAUCAUCCUCUUCACGCAUAAUGGAAUAUAAUCGCAGUAUAUGUUCAAUUUGGUUCUAUGAGCAAGGUCACCUGCUUUUUCCUCAAGAGUUUCGGUUGCUGAGAGAUAGCUGCUUAUUGCAAAUGUGUCAUGUAUGUAAUGCUCUGCUCAUAUCCUCACAAGGCUGACCUGAGGCUGUAAUUGAAGAAAUUUAAUUGACUGAGUUAUUAUACUACCUUUGUCCUCGAGGGUUCUUGUAGGACAUUUUUUUUAAUUCUGGUCAGCUUCAUGCCUUCCUAAUUUAAGCCGCGCUCUGUGGGGCUUGCAGCUUAUUUCACUUGUAUAAUGUGCUAGAGAACCCUUACGGUCGGUUUUUGAUCUUUAAGAGAGUGCUCAAGCUUGCCGUAGCUGGAAAAGUCACGGAACUGAUUGUGCCUAUUUUCAAGCGCAUGGAUGCAUUCUUACACGAGUGGAAUAUUAGUGAGAGUGAUAAGCGUGAUAUAUUCCUUUCUGCAACAAACAUUUUGAAGGACCAAAAAGGGUAGGUCUCUUAAAUUACGUAUAUCGUCAUGUACGUUGAUAUUGUACAUUGUGAUUUUUUAUACUUUCUUUUAGUAUCACUCUAUUUAGAUUCAAAGACAACUUACCGGAUUCAGGUUUCUAUAAUGGGUUCCAGAUGAUGGUCUGUGGUACUACUUAUGGUAGUAUUCAUCUUUUUCAGUAAGAAAACUUUUAAUUUAUAAAUCUUAUCUUUACCCGUACCUUUUGACGUAGUCGCUAUUCAACCAUCAUGAAAGUCGUGUAGGUACACGAAGGACUCAUACGCAUUUCUGUUCAAGUACCUGCAAACCUUUAUUGGAGAGGAUGCGAGUACAUUGAACGAAGCUAAAGAGGAAGCUGUCAGAGCUGUCAUAGAAUUUGUCAAGUCUCCGGACAUGUUUCAGGUUAAUCUCGCUCAUUCGGACUCCUUAUCAACUAUGUCUGUCCUGAUUUUGAAAUCACAGGUUGUGCCUUUUCUGCUACUCUUUUUUGAAGUGGUUGUAUGUGCAAAUAUUUCAUGCUGACAUGAUGUUACUGCAGAAACAUCGUUGGGGUGAUCAGAGCGUUUUCCUUGUAAGUAUCUGAACUUCUUAACUUUCCAAUAUGGCUAUUUCAAUCUAUCGUUGAACCUGUUCUUUUCUUCACAGGAAUAGGACCUGACAGAUAUUUGGAUCUACAGAUACAUGUAAUUGAUGCUGUUAAUUACGAUGAAAAAUGAUAAGUUGACUUUCGCUUGUCGGCAGAUAACAUUCUUUCUAUUAUUUGUGAUCCCCAGUGUGACCUAUUGGAUAUGCCAGCCGUAAAACAACUCGAAAGGGACCCCAAGUAUGAGCCUGUAUAUCGUUUGCUCGAGAUAUUUUUGACUGGCCGUCUUGCGGAUUACCUCGAGUUUCAAGCUGCAGAUGCUGCUACUUUGGAGAAUUAUGGUAUGUUUAUCAUCUUUGGGGUUGUUGUGAUCAAAUUACCUGCUGGAAUAUGUAUGUUCAUAGAUACUUUUGCUUGCAUGCAGGACUUGUACAUGAGGAUUGUGUUACUAAAAUGCGGCUGAUGUCGCUAGUGGGGCUUGCUACUGCGGCUUCCGGAGAGGUUUCUUAUGCUGUCAUCCGUGAUACUCUGAAGGUACACAGUUAACGGUUUAUGGAAGCAUCUGUCUUGCUUUUAUACUUCAUAAGUAUAUUCAAAAACCUCAUUAUUUUGUAGUCGGGUCCUCUCAUUCGACUACUGUCGUUUGUCCUUGGCCAGGUUGCUGAUGACGAGGUCGAGCACUGGGUUGUGAGAGCUAUUGGAGCAAAGCUACUUGAGGCUAAGAUGGAUCAGCAUAGACAAACAGUGAUUAUUGGGUACGUAUUAAUGAGUAUACACAGUAUUAAGAGAAAAUAUGUUCUGAAAAUUUUCUUAACCUUCUUAAUCUCUUGUAACAUGUUCUGCAGUCAAUGAUCCAGUCGUGCAUGCAACACAUUCACUCUGACUCUCUCUCUCUCUCUCUCUCUCUCGCUCUCUCCCCACUCUGUCUCUCUCGUUUAGCACAAGGAUGAAUCUUCUGCUUUGAGAAAACAAUCAUUUGAUUAUCUGUUGCAGACGCUGCACUGGGAGGGUUUUCGGACCUGCACAAUGGCAAGAGUUGCGCACAGGACUCGCUGGUUGGAAGGUUAGCAAACGUUAUCUAUUGGCUCCGACUUAUGUGUGUAUUACGUUAUUUGUCGGGUUGGUGCCAUAUUGUAUGAAUCUGUUAUUGUGCACGCAGUUGACAGAAUCGAAGUUUAUCUCUUGUUUUACGUAUGUCUCCGAGAUCUUGUAGUAGAAUUUUGAAGCGCUGCGUUACUAAUACGAAAGUUCGCUGUGUACAGGAGAACAUCAACAACGUAGGAAGGAUCAUAGCUCAUGCAAAGUUAUCACAAGGCGGCAUCCCGCAAGCUCUUCAAGUUUAAUCAAAUAAACUAGCAUAUUUUCUUUGAGAUUUAAGUAUGGGAUUGAUUUGUAAUAGGCUAGCAGUGACCUGGAUUGGUCAAGACACUUACGGUUAAGUUGUGAGGCUCGCGUAGGGCAAUUUUCUCGGGAACGUUUUUGGAAAUGAACGCUGAUUUCGAAUAUUAUUAUUCUCUUGUCUAUUUCUGUGUUACUCGUAUACCUGUCGACUUUCAAUUAUUCGACCUGCAUGAUGCACUGUUGUGAUGCUGUUAUUGCAGCCAUGAACAAAAUUCGGGGGUCUGUCAAUCUCCAUGUCAUGCGUUGGAAUUUCCAUUUGAGACAAUUCUGAUUGGAUGGAAUAUCUUCUACAUAGAGUUUUGCAUUUUUCUAGGAUAUAGUUACAUGAGCACUGAUAUCAAAAUUCAUAAAAAUCAAGUGACUUCAAUAUUCAAGACGACCGGGGCAACCUAACCCCUAGACCGGGACCAUAGUAGUCUUCGUCCAUAUAAUGGAUUUUAGUCAAUUUUUAACAGAGUUUUUGUAUACAUGUUCAUGCUUACUUGCAAAAAUUGAAACUUAAAGACGAGGCCAAGGGGCCUUAGCCAGAGCUGAGGGAGGCUUAAGGCUAUGGGAGGCAGAAGUCAAGGGAACCUUGGGUAGAGCCAAGGGAAGGCUAAGGCUAUGGGCUAGUACUAAGCUCAUGUUCUUGCUUAUUCGUAAAAAUUGGAAUUUAGGGCCGAGGAAGUAGAGGCAGAGGGGGUCUUCGUCAAAGUUAAGAGAGGGUUGAGGUCAUGGGCUAGGAAGAAGCUGACCAACUUUCCCAAAAAAAUUGGAAUUUAAGAUUGAGGAAGCAAAGGCUUAAGGGGCCUUGGCUAGAAAUGAGAGAGGGCUAAGGGGCCUUAGAUAGAGCUUAAGGAAGAUUGAGGUCAUAGGCUAGAGAGUACCCUUCUCACAGAAAUUGGAUCUUAAAAUUGAGGAAGCACCGACCUAUGCUUGCAUGCAAAAAUUAGAACUUAGAACCAAAGAAGAAGAGGCCAAUCGAGCCUUGGCUAGAGCCAAGGCUUAGAUGAGGCAAUGAACUAGAGAGAAGUGAUAAAGCAUUAAGAAGAGGGAUCAAAACAUAAAUAUAGUGCAAUCAAUCUCUUACAUAAGUGGUUGAAUUUAAUCUUGGAACUCACAAUUAAUCUAGUGCUACCAAAAUCUAUAAUCAUUGGCAUCAAUCUAUCCAAGUUCUAACUUUGACACCAAAUCUUAUAUUAUUUAUAGGAUAUUUUUAAAUUAAUCCAAGAAUUUACUAAAUUCAUCCAUCCAUCGUCAUUGAUUGUAGAUCUAACUAUUUUUUCAUUGAUUUUCAACCAACAUGAAUCUAAUAGUGGAGAUUUUCUUUUUAUAAUGGUUUGGAUGGGUGGGUUAAUUUUAUAAAUUCUUCAUUAUAUUAGUAUAAACUCUUCUUAGCCCAUUGCUUGGUUGUUACUCAUUGGUAGCAAGAUAGGUUAAACCAAGAUUAAUUAUCACAAAUAGAUGAAAUCUUAUGGUAAAGUUCUUAGGAAAUGCUUUGCAAAACCAUUUCUAAGGCCAUUAGCUCAAAGAUAAUUAUAAAAGUGUUUCUUUUUGAAUUUAUAUUGCUAUUAUUCAUCCAUCUUUCUUUAAUAACAAUAAGAUUUAUUAAUUCUUUAGAGUAUAAAAUUUAUUAACUGAAGAAAAAAAAUUAUGAAAAAAAAAAAAACAUAUAUAUAUAUAUAUAUAUAUAUAUAUAUAUUUAAUAAGAAAAAAAUCUAAAGAAAAUCUAAAACCAGAGUUGUUGUUUAAAAAUCUCACAUGAUUCAUUCUUAAAAAUAAACUAUUAUAAAACUUUAAACAAAUAUUUUUUCUACAAAUAAGAACUAUUAUAACAAUAAACUACUAUAAUAUAUAAUUAUAAAAUUUAUUAAAGUCAAAACUAUUAUUAUUUUUUUAAUGUAAUUAAUAUUUUAAGAUAAAUUUGAAUUUUUGACUUUGAGAUGACUAAUUAAAUUUUUAUUAUGUUUAAUUUGCAAUAAAAUAUUUUUAUUUUUAUAGAUUAAUUAAAUAAAAAAUACUUAUUUUAAAAAAUACAUAUAAAUACUUACUAUUUUUUCAAUAUCAUAUAUAAUUAGAAUUACUAUUAAAUUUAUAUUUAUUUAUGUAAUAUUAAUAAAUAAAUAAAAAUAUAUAAUUAAGUUUUAAAAAACUAAAUAUAUAAUUUUAAAUACAUAUUGUCUAAUAACCUAUUAAAUUCUAUUAAGUUAUAUUAUUUUUUGUAGUUUUGAUUUAUAAAGAGAAUUUAACAUUUUAUAACAAGUUUAUUUUUUUAAUAUUAUUUUAUUUUGACUUAUAAAUUUUAAAAUAUUAGAUGAAAAAUUAAAUUAAAAUAUUUUAAAAUAAUAAAACUUAAAUAUAAAAUAAUUAUAAUACAAAUUUAAUAUCUUUAUUUCAUAUUAAUGUUUUAAAAAUAUAUAUCUAAGAUAUGGAACAAAUUUGUUAUGUGACAGGAUUUAACCUUUCAAUUUAAAAGAUUGUAACUACCUAUUAUGUAACAAGAUAUAAAUAAGAUAUUUUUAUAGGAAUAGAUAGUUAGAACCAUGGAAGUUUCUAGAAUUGGAAUUAUAUUAGUGGACUAUGUAGGAUCCAUCAUAGAACAUUCUAAAAAGAAUUUAGGGAGGUCAUUUAGAUGGAGCCUACCAUAGAACCUUCUAAAAGGAAUUAAAAAAAGUUAUCUAAGUCGAAUCUACUAUCUAUAAACAUUCUAGAAAGUCCAAGGUAGUAGAACAAAGUAUAAAUAAGAUUGGUCAGAGCCUUUUGGAGCACCUAGUCAGGUAUAGCUUUGAACCUUCUCUCUUAGUAAAGUUUGGUUUUGUAUCUUCUUGUUCAAUUCAGUUUUGUUUUAUUCUUGUUGGUUCAAUUAUUUUUUUAUCCAUUUUAUAUUACUUUGUGAUAAGGUUUUAUAUUGCUGUGGAUUUGAAGAGUCUUAGACACCUAAGAUAGAUUGGUCAUGUUUCAUCAUAUGUUAGACUAUUUACUUUUGGUAGUGUAUUAAUAGUCAUUCAUCUAGUUGAAGAUUAAUUGUUCUGGUCAUAUUAGAUAUUAUGUUGAAGCUAUCACGAGCUAUUCUUAAAAAGUCAAAUGGGAAGUAAGAAGGCAUUACAAUAGUAGAAUCUGGUAGAAAAAUUACAACAUGGAAGAUAUAGGGAAAUAAUCCAAGAUAGACAUUCAAAUAUAGUACCUCUUAGGCCAGAUAGCUACUUUAUAAGGGCAAAUAGAAGCCUCGAGGUUAAGGGAGUCAAUAUCUAUUAAGUUAAAAUUGAAUAAGCCUAAUACAUACUCUAGGACUUCAAGACAAGAAGAUGUAUGUCAAUGGCUCUUCAAUAUGUGACAGUACCUCUAACUAUCUGGGACAAAUACCAUUGAAGGAAUUAUAUAUGAUAGCCAUUUGGUGGUGACAUUGAAUUCAAAGCUAUGGAGCUUAAGGUGGAUUUUGUGAUUGAGAGGAGUUUGAGACCGAGUUUAAGAAUCAAUUUUGGUCCAUCAAUGCAGAGAAGAUAGCAUGCAAACAAUUGAUAAAUAUUACACAAUCUAUGUCAAUGCAAGAUUAUAUCUUCCAAUUCAAGUCUCUAUAUCUCCAAAUUAAUAAUAUUUUAAAUGUAGAGAUGAUGGAUCGCUUCCUACAAGGUUUGAAACCUGUCAGGAACUGCUAUAUUGAAUAGCACAAGGGUAGAGCAAAUAAGGUGCAUUAAAUCUUUUUAUCUCAUUAUAAGCUGAUAACACUAGUAACGACUCAUAUUAAGGCUAGUAAGUAAGUCCUACAGCCUAAAGCAGUAAAAAACAAAUAAAAUUUGUUACAAAAUCCGGCUAAUAGAGAUAUUUCUACCAGAAGCAAGACCUAUAGCAUGAAGUCAUAUGUCGCUAUCUAAUACUAUGGCACAACAAUGAAUGCUAAUGGAGAUUGAUGCCAUACAAUGAUCAUUGAUACCACAAAAAUGACAAAUAUUAGUACAAAAAGGAUUUUUUUUCUAUUGUCGGGAGCCAAGCCAUCAAAUUGGAGGUUGUCCAAAACAACAAAAUUCAAACAUCACGAAGAUAAGGUGGAUUCAUAGUCUCAAAACUCACUAAGUCGAUAAUGAAAAAGAAUAGGAAAAUUAGAUUCUCUAGUAAAGGUACCAAGGAUCAAUACUUGAUCAAGAAGUAUGCUACUAGGUAGGUCUUUUAAAUAGAACUAUUGUUUGGAUCCAAACAAGGAAAUCAACCAAGUUAUAACCUAACACCAAAAAAACUUGAAGAAUUGUAGAAGACAGUGGAUGAAUUUUUAGAAAAAAACCUCAUUCAAGAAAACACAUGACUAUGGAAAGCACUUAUAUUCUUUGCAUCCAAGAAGGAUGUUGGACUUUGCCUUUGCAUCAACUAUCAAGGCUUCAAUUAGCAGAUUGUUAAAAAUACAUAUCUACUUUUAUGUAUGGAUGAUCUUCUUAACCAACUUCGACGUGCGAUCAUCUUUAAUAAAUUGGAUCUUUGAAGUGGCUAUUAGCAAACACCUAUUGUAAGAAAGGACUUAAAAAAGAUAACAUUUUGUAUGAACUAUGGAUAUUUUGAAUGGUUGAUUUUACAUUUUGGCCUUACCAAUGCUCCAGCCUCUUUCAUGCAUCACAUGAAUAGAUUAUUUUAGAACCUUUUGGACAAGUAUGUAGUUGUCUUCAUUGAUGAUAUCCUUGUAUAUAAUAAAAUCUUUGAAGAGUAUGAGCAACAUCUAAGAAAAAUAUUGCACUGACUACAAUAUAGUUGUUUUUAUUACAAGAAAUUAAAAUGUGAACUUUGGAAGUUGAAAGUCAUCUUUUUGGAGCAUGUAGUGUCUUCCAAAUGCAUGUGUAUGGCACAAGAGAAGGUGAAAGUAGUGGAGGAUUAGCCAAUUUCUAAAGAUGCUUCUGAUGUUCACUCAUUUUUAGGCCUUACUAGAUAUUAUCCCCAUUUUAUUCGGUGAUUUGUUCACAUUGUUGCUUCAUUGACAAACCUACUACAAAUAGGUGUUCCAUUUGAAUGGAAACUAGAGCUACAAAGCACCUUUGAUAAGUUGAAGGAGGCACUUAUUAUUGCUCUAAUAUUGCAACCAUAUGAUUUUAACCUUCCUUGUACACUUGACAUUGAUGCUUCUCACUUUGCUAUUGGAGCGGUCCUUCAACAAGACUUUGGUAGGGACCUUCAAUCUAUGGCAUAUGAAUCACAUAAGCUUAGAAGGGCAAGGCCCAAUUACUCUGCACAUGAUUGAGAGCAAUUAGCAAAUGUACAUACCACAAAAGUGUGGUGACACUAUCUGGUGGAAAAGCCAUUCAUUGUUUGAAUUGACUAUCGAUCCUUGCUAUACAAUUCAUAUCUAAAAAAUAUGAAAUCAUGACAUCAUCAUUAGAAAGAACAGUUGUAGCUUUUUGAUAUUCAGUUUGAGUACAAACAAAGGCAAUAACAUACUAUGCCAAACAACUUAUUAUAGAGACUAGACUAGAAGGACAAAUCAAGAAACAAGGUAGAAGUGGCUACCAUUAGUAGUGUCAUUUCAAAUCUAACCAAAGAGAUGGAAUGGAAGGAAGCUAUGCAUGAAGAUGAUUAUUUCAAAAUAGUUAGCAAUAGGCUAAAAGUAGAUAAUAUAUAGUAUGGAAAUUACAUUCUUAGUGAUGGCUUGCUCUAUUUCAAGAAGUGGAUUUAUGUACCUGAAAAUGCUAUAUUUCAAACGUGCAUACUUCAAGAAGGACAUUACAUCCCAAUAUUUAGAUAUUUGGGACGAGAAAAGACUUUAGAACGGAUUUCAAGGACAUGAUUUUAGGCAAGCUUGGAUUGUAAUAUUUGAGCCUUUGUGUACUCCUGCGAGUCAUAUCAACGUAAUAAAGCAUACAACAUAGCAUCUCUUAGACUAUUGUAGCUAAUUCUACUACCUACGAUAUGUUGAAAGCAGGUGACUAUGAAUCUCAUUACAUGUUUGCCACAGGCACUUCAUAAUCAUACUUUAGUUGCCGUCUUUAAGAAUCAAUUCUUGAAGCAACUUCAUUUGGCCACAAUGCUCUUGGAUAUUAAUGCCCUAGUACUUGUACAAGUCUUCUUUGAUAUUGUCUUUCAUCACCAUGGAUUACUUUGUGUCAUCAUUUCACAUUGAGAUCCACACUUCAUGAAAAGUUUUUGGCAAACCUUGUUUAAGCUAUUAGGCAUAUGACUUGUCAUGUCUAUAGUCUUCUAUCUCCAAAUAGAUGGGCAAAUAGAGUGUACAAAUCAGACCUUAAAGGAUAUAUUAUAGAUAUUUGUGGUGGUUCAUCAUAAUGAUUAUGAUGAAUACUUGAUGUCCUUGAAAUUUGCUUAUAAUGAUAGUAUUCAAGCAAGUACAAGUCAUUCACCAUUUUUCUUUAAUAUUGAUUAACAUUUGAUUAUGCUAGUAACUUUCCAUCAUCCCAUUGACACCAAUAAUCCAAUAAUGGAAGAAUUUAUAAAAUGACAUACAACAGCCUUAUAAGAGGCAUGGCACCACCUCUUUAUUAUAUAGAAUCAAUAAAAGUAAUAUAUAGAUAACCAUUGACAACAUAAGACCUUCUAGGAGGGUGAGUAGGUAUUAUUCUCCAAUGCCAACUUGCCACUUGCUACAUCAACUCAAAUCUGUAAGCUAGCACCUCAAUGGCUUGGACCUUUCUCCAUUUCUGCAAUGAUUUUUAAUGUUGCAUAUUGCCUUGACCUUUUGCCACAUACUUGGGUCCAUCUAGUCUUCUAUGUUUUGCAAAUGAAAGAAUUUCAUAUUGAGCCAAAGUGCUUUUUGGAUCAAUACCAACCACUACCACCAUCAGUUGUAAUUGAUGAUCAAUAAGAAUAUAAAAUAAAUAGCAUUUUGGAACAUUGCUACCUUUGCUGUGGCAAUGGAUGUCGACAACUUCAGUACAAAGUUCUUUAGAAAGGUUAUCUCAUUUAUGAUGCAAUGUGAGAACCUGCACAAAACUUCAUCCAUUGCUAAGAGACAAUGUAGAAAUAUCAUCGAGAUCAAAAUGAGGAUGUUCUGCAUUAGUAGAAGAUGAUUAAUUAUAAUAGGGUAUAAAAAAGAUAUUUGUAUAGGAAUAGAUAGUUAGAACCAUAGAAGUUUUUAGAAUUGAGGUUAAAUUAGUAGACCGGAUAGGAUCCACUAAAGAACAUUCUAAAAAGAAUUUAGGGCAAUUAUUUAGGUAGGAUCCAUCAUAGAACCUUCUAAAAAAGGCUUAGGGCGGUUAUGUAAGUAGGGCCUACCAUAGGACCUUCUAGAAGGAAUUUAAGGCAGUUACCUAAAUGGGAUCUAUUACCUAGGAACAUUCUAGAAAGUCAAAGGUGGUAGAACAAAGUAUAAAUAAGACUAACUAGGGCCUUUUAGGAUACUUGGUCAAGUAUGGCUUCAAACCUUCUCUCUUAGUAAAGUUUGGUUUUGCAUCUUCUUAUUCAAUUCAAUUUUGUUCUAUUUCCAUUAGUUCAAUUUUUUUUUGGUCUAUUUUGUCUUACUUUGUGAUAAGGUUUUAUAUUGUUGUGGAUUUAAAGAGUCUUAGACACCCAAGAUAGAUUGGUCAUGUUUCAUAUUAUAUGCCAAAAACACCAAAAAAAAUUGGGUAUAAGAUAAACAUACAAUAAAAUAUUAGUAGAAGAUAUAAUUUAUGGAUUUACCAAAUGAGUGUUCAUAUGUUCUAAUGUCAAAACAAAAGAGAUAGAUGUUUUAAAUACUACCACAAUAUAAUUAAAAAAAAUAAAAUAUAAUCUUAAAAUUUAUUUUUAGUCUUUUAAAUUAGAUUCAAUGGCAUAUAUAGCCAAAAAUAAUAUAAAAAGUUUUUAGAGAACAUACUUUAUAAAACUUAAUAGAAUCUAAUUGAAGUGACAACCCAUAUCCAAACUUCAAAUUUAAUUCAAAAAAGAUAUGACUUAUUUAAUUUAACUAAACUAAAUAAUAAAUUCUUAUAUGAUUGUUUUGAUAUUAAGAGAUUAUUAGUAAUAUGUAAAGAACAAUGCUAAGCCAUCAUUCUAAUAAUAAUAAAAAAUAUACCUAUAAAUUUAUGUUCAAUUAUUUAUAAAGUACAAGAAUAUCCUUAAGAAAUGUGUGUUUGAGAUUAGAUAACACUUCUAAUUUAUAAAAUAGAAAAUAGUCUUAAAAGUGAAAAAUUAUAAAAAGUGUCUUCAUAGCAACAAAAAAAAAUUGUAAGUAGUAUAUUAUCAAGUUUUUAAAGUUUAUCAACUAAUUAGUUUGUACUUAAAAAAAAUAAUUAUCAAAAAUCUAAACUUAUUAAAAUAAAAAUAAUAAAGCAUAAUAAAAUGACCAUUAGACAAAGAAAAUAAUAUGAUAUAAUUUUGUAAUAUACAAUUAUUUGAUGUAGAAAGUUAAAUGAAUUAAAUAAGUAAAAAUAUUUUUACAUAGAUGAAAGAAAUUAUGUAUGACUAAAAACUUGCUUUGAAAAUAGGCACAAAAAUAUUUUAGAAUUCUACAAUUCUACCAAUUGGUCUAAAAAUCUAUAAGUUAAAGGAAACAAUGUUGGUACUAAUAGAAAUUUAUUAUAAUAAGUUAAUAUUUUCUUAGGUUUCAUUUAUCAAUAGGAUGUUUUGGCCUUGAUGUUUUUUUUAAUUGUUUUAUCUUUUUAUCAAUGUCUUAAAAAAUAUUCUUUGUAAUUAAAUUUGUAUAUGAAAAAAACAAAACAAAAAACAAAAAAUACACCAAUUGCUAUAAAAUAUAGAUAAUCUUAGAAGAUCUUUAUAUUACAACUAUUGAUACUUAGAAUUUGUUAAAUCAAGAAGUCUUAUUUAAUUGGCCAAUUAAUCAAGAGACCUUAAGAAGAAAAAAGAUGAAAUGGAAUACAUUAUUUUUUAUGUGACCUAAAUAUUUUUAUACUUUAGAAUUUGCAUCAAGAUUUACUUCAAAAGGCAAAUUUUAUAGAAAUUAAAUUAUACAAAGUGGAUUUUUGUAUAAUUUAAUUUCUAUAAAAUUACUAAAAACCAAUACUAAAAUUUUCAAAUGAACUUUUUUAUAUUAUUAUUAUUUUAAAGUUUAGUAUAUGAAAUUCCAUAUUUAAAUUUACAAUAGGAUAAUUUGGUUCAUUUUAUGACCCCUUCUCACUUCAUAAUAUUAAUGGUGUCUCUAAAUAAAAACAACUUUUUUUUCACCAAAUACUAAACCUUUAUAAAACUUUUCACCAAAUAAAUCUCAACAUGCUCCUUCAAUCAGUUAUUCCAAACUAUUCCUAAUAAACCCAAGAUCCAGGGGGGUUAAAAAGGCGGUUUCUAUCCACAUAAGCCCAUUUUUCGAAGAUUGAGAUUGCAAACGCAACUCAACGAGAUAAUUAUAAAAAAAUAAUAAUAAAAUAAUAACAAAAAAGAAGUCUAAGGAUGCGAUGAGUACAUCCUGGCAAUGAUUCAAUCAACGCCCACAUCAUUCAAUUGAGUCCUAUAUCCUCCUGCACCCAAGCACUCAUUGACUGGAAUUGUGGAACACAUGCCACGAAGUUCCACCGACCAAGAAUAUCCCCGAGGCCAGUCGGCGGUGUUGCAACUCGGACAAAAAUGCUAUCUUUGAACAAGGUCGGUGGAAUGAAUAAUUGUUCAAACCUUGUCUUAUCUGAUAAAUAAGGUAAGUAUAAAAAAUCACAAUGUACAACAGCAACGUAAAUGACGAUAUACGUAAUUUAAGUGACCUACCCUUUUUGGUCCUUCAAAAUGUUUGUUGCAGAAAGGAAUAUAUCACGCUUAUCACUCUCACUAAUAUUCCACUCGUGUGAGAAUGCAUCCAUGCGCUUGAAAAUAGGCACAAUCAGUUCCGUGACUUUUCCAGCUACGGCAAGCUUGAGAACUCUCUUAAAGAUCAAAAACCGACCGUAAGGGUUCUCUAGCACAUUAUACAAGUGAAAUAAGCUGCAAGCCCCACCGAGCUUGUUCAACCCUUGUUCUGAUAAAUCAAGGUGCUAUCUUAUCUGAUAAAUCAGGUAAGUCGGCACACAGUACCUCAAGGUGAUAUUUGAGUAGUCUCUAGUCUCGUCAUUCACCACUAUGGGCCUGCAGAUGAGGUCCACCGAUGCAGAAUAUCACUAAAGCUGUUUCUUGAGUAGCCAUGGCAGCUCCCAAUCAAAUUUUCUUGUUUGUUGUGGGGUAGGACGUCGCCUGCUUCAGUAAGAUCCAUGGCCACAAAAGAGAAAAAUGCUAAUCUGCGUUAUCCCAGAUUGGAUGUGGUAUCCUUUAAUGGAAAUCGCAAUCUAUUUCAGCUUGUGCCGUACUACCUACUCCCAAUUCAAGGACCUGCAAAUUCUAUAGGAGUUGGACAAUGUCGCCAGCUUUGUAGCUACUCACGAUUUGGUCCAACGAUGCCGAUUGAUCCACUUCUACAGUGUCGGGCACAUGGUGAUGAUAAAGAAUCAUAGUCCCUUGUCUUGCAACAAGUGUAAUCUGUCCACACAAGCUGCUUCCAAACUGGAUAGCAUAUUCAGGAGCCCUUAAAAAGGAAGGAAAGUCUCAUUCCGCAGGACAGCUUGAGUCUCUGCCUUGAUUCAACUCGGCAUCGUGACGAGAACGUGAUCCUCGCCUGUCACCAAGAGUCCUUAUUGGAUGCGGGCAUUCUCGUGCAUGAAUUCCGUGUUGGAAAGUCUUCCACUGAAUCUUAAAAUAUUCCAACUUAUCAACUCUCGUGAAGCCCGGUUGCUGGUUGUCACUUAACAUGCACAUCUCAUAUAAAAGUCGCUUAAGUCAAGCAGCAUCGAUGUUAGUACAGCAGUGCACUAAUUCGUUGAGAUUGAAUCAAGGUGAGGUGAUUUGAAAUUCCCAGCUUGGAUCGUUGGGUUAAAACUGAUUAGAGAGGUUGAUAAGCUGAUCAAACGAGGCCAUCCUUAGCCCAUUUGCAAUGUAUCUCGAUCGAUGUAAGUAAAUCCAAGUUUUUGUGAAAUCAAGCACAUGUGACAUCUCCGAUUCAUGAAGAAACCUUCAUGACGCUUAUUGCUGGAGGUAAGACUAUCCAAAUUGUUCAAGUUUCUCCGAAGAGGCUGAUACAGCAACAAACAUCUAGGUACCUGACCUCGACAACACUUGCAUGUGAAAAAGUUUGAGAUUCUAGCUUCAUAGAUUGCUUUCCCUCCUAAGCGAAAGCAGUCACCAAACUGAACGUAAUUGCGAUUUGGUUCCUCAUAGCCGACACAGCUAGGUACAGGUGGCUUGUGAGCAUGAUCUACUACAAAUCGGUCAUGAACGUCCUGUUGCAGCUUUGAUAAUUGUGAGUGCUGCAGGCUGUAGUCCGCCCAUAAAGCCCAUAAAAAGUCAGCCUUCAAAGCGCGAAAAUAAUUUCAGGAGUAUCUUCUAAAGACAAAGAUACGAGGCGCUAGCUUUAAGGUUUAUUUCCAACAAUUUUAAGUCUGAGGUACCACACCUGAUAGAAACCCCUGCUCAUUUUCUUGAGAACGUGCAAGAACCGGAUUAGACCUCUUAGAAUCUUGGGGCUUCUAUUCGAAUUGAAUUAUCAAUCUUCGUGCUUAGCAACAGAGCGAUGAAAGUUUGGAUAACUCGCUUCACAUAUGGAAGCAAUCACAAGAGGGUUAAUUUGAAAUAAUAUCGUCAAAUGGAAAAUGUGUUGCCGCCUCUGUUCUUGGGAGGACUCUUCGAAUGACACCAUUCUCUGUACGUCAACAUGAAUUACAUUGGCAAACUUACAAAGAACAGAAUCCUCGACAUAUCGUGUCACAGAACUCAUGAACUCUACUGAUUACCAACUUAUUUUUUCGACACGUUGUCAUUGCAGUCUUCAAAUGGAGGGGAGUAGACAUGAGCAGCAAAAACAGAGUCUUUCAGAUCUUAUACCAGUAAUUGACCUUGCAGCACUAAAUGGCGAUCAUAUCGACGAAUUUGAACGCAGGCGCAUUAUAACUGAGAUAGCUCAUGCAUGCAAAACAUGGGGCGCUUUCCAGCUGGUCAACCAUGGUAUUCAACCGCAUGUGAUUGAAAGGGCCAGAGCUAAAGCGUGCGGGGUGUUUGAAUUGCCAAAUGAAACACGGUGGAAGGCCAAACGAUCACCAGGCAGCUUGUCUGGAUAUGGAAACGGCGCUGUCAUCGCAGACGCAGUCAACAAUGAAAUUGCAUCCGAAGCCAUAACCUUCGGGUACCCAAAUUCUGAGGCUGACGUAAUUGCUAGCAUAUUCUGGCCUCGCGGAAACCCAGGUUUUAGGUAAGUAGCAAUCAGACCCACAACCUCAAUGGCACGAUAGAGCGUCCCUGGUUCUUUACACUCUAACGAAAAAUCUGCUUCUUUCAUCUUUCAUUAACCUGCACUGUGUGAUCAUGUUCUUACACUAAAACAAAAUGUUCGCUGGCCGCGUACAUGAUCUUCAAUAAGCACCUUCGAAUAAGGUCAAUACAGGUAGACUGACAUUUGCCAGUGUUGCGUUCAAACUCCAGUGCGAGCAUAGAUGAUUAUAAUGAGGAGUCGCAUGAGCUGGCCUUGAAGGUCGUGAGACUCAUGGUAGAAGGCCUGGAACUCCACGGAAACUUAGCACACUUUCAACCCUACUUGACAGAACAUUUUGGAGUGUUGAGAAUCAACAACUACCCAGCUAGCGAACACCCAACCCGAGACAUCGGACUUCCACCGCACAUUGAUGAUACCCUACUAACCAUAGUGCACCAAGGAUGUGAAGUUGAAGGACUUCAAGUUAAAAAAGAUGGCCAGUGGGUUACUGUGCCACCACGAGGCGACGUCAUGGUUGUCCUCGUGGCUGCCGUAUGCCAGGUACAUUCGAACUCCUAUAGGCUCCUUUAACAUCAGUUUUUUCGAAAUGCCUCUAAUUAAUUCUAAGAAAAAACUUGGUGAUGCACAAGCCACGAGAAACAGAAAUGAUUUUGGUAAUCGCAAAGUCGAAAAAUGCAUACCUGUUCUAACUUCAUCCUUCGAACCGAACUCGAGCUUGACGACUGAUUUUAUGAUUUGCAGGUGAUCACAAAUGACAACUAUAAAGCUGUCCUACAUCGAGCAGUGCCGAAUCGAGACAAAGCCCGGCUCUCCAUGGUGUAUUCGGCCUAUCCUCCGGCGAAUAUCUUUAUUACCGCUGCUCCAGAGUUUGUGAGCCCUGCACACCCUCCCCUGUACAAACCAUUCACAUGGUCAGAGUACCUAUCUGGUCAAGUUACCCACAUCCUUAACCCUAUUGAUGGCUUACAAACAGUUGAGAGGGAAGGAGAAACUCAAAAUCAAACCUCAGAAUCCUCAGAGAGCAGUAGUAAACUUGAUUAAAACAAAGGGAGUGAAAUUCAAAGUUCCCAACUCAGAAGCAUUAUCAACAUAUUUUGUUGACUUCACGAAAGAUGGUCAAUUUUGCGUCGUAAGUGAUUGCUGUAGUCAGCAACUGUAAUCUGAGUAUCACACAAUGCAGAACUCAUGCGAAACCUUGGCUUCUAGAUGAAACAUUCUUGAAUUUAAAUGUCCAAAAUCUUGAUUCACCUGAUUUGGAAUACAAAUGAAAACAUUUUGAAAUUCCUCAAACUUCCACUGCGGUUUGAAAUGAGGUACAAACUCAAGUAGUAAGCUGCCGUCAGAGGUGCCUGUUGCAAAGCAGAUCAAAUGCUCUAAACAGUGACAAGCCCACCUGCUGAGCUCUCAAGUAGAGAAAGUCAAUGCCGUCCAUAAGCAUUCUAUGUUGUUCUUCAUUACUGCGAGAAUCAUUACAAAAGAUUCUAAGGCAGUCCUCAUGCACGCAAAUAGUGACAAGUAGAGGGAAGAAGUGAAGGCCAAUACGAACAACAAAUUCAACUGGAUCUCUCAGCAAACAUGAUCUAGUGACACGAAGGCACAAAAAUUCGAGAUCAAAAAUCCUUGAAAAUGUAGAAAGGCGUGCACAAGAUAUCCCACAAAACACGCCAAUCCUUAAAGAAGAAGAUCCUCAAAUCCAGCGAGUGAAUCGUAAGUAAACGCGUUAUGCAUAGGAGGACCAAACAACGCAUGCUUGGAUCAAAUUUUGAGUGUAAAUGCAUGCAAAAGUUGCCUAAUCGUCAAAUUCUUUUCAGGAUUCGUUUACAAAACACUCGAGCUGCAAUAAGUCUACUUCUAUACAAUACGCUCCAACUCCCUAGCAUAACCUAGAGUUUGAUUGAUUAGCUGAAGAGAAGGAAUCUCUUUGCAUGGUGCAAGUUUCUUGGCUCUUUGAAAAUACACCCUGGUGCCGCGAAUCUCCCAAUCCGGAUGAUCCUGAAUAAUGUUCGGACCCAAAACAUUAUCAGUUGCAAAUAAGCAACCCCUUGGUCCCAUGAAAUUGAGAACGCAUGAAGGACUUCAACAGAAUCCGUAACACAAACUAAGAACAUGCAAGAUAUGGAAAUGUGUUACGUAGAAAUGUUAGAAAGAUGUGAGACAAGCACUUGUAGAAAUACUUACAUCCAGAACGUAUGCCAGCAACUCUUGAUCGGACGCAAACAUCAGUAUCUUCUUGGCCUCCACUAAUGACAACGAAUCGUACGCCUUCUCACUACAACCUGCGAUUUCAUCUCUGUGCACAAUGAAAUGAGUAAUUAUUGAGUACAUCAUUACCAUGAUCUUUGCAACAGUAAGAGCAUCCUUGCAAAAACGCAGUUUCUAGUCAAUCCACCGAGAAAGUCAUUCAUAAUUCCUUGGUGUAUCAUACCUGACAGUCUUGGCAAGAAGGUCCAUAAAGUACACAUAAGUUUCAUGUGGAACAGCUUGACGGGCACUUAGAACACGGUUGUAGGCGCCCUCCAUGAACGACUGCUCUAGCUCCACAGCAUGCUUUAUGCAUGAAUGAUCAUGAGCUGCAGGUGGUAGAAGCUCUAGCUCUGCAAACCCAUUCACACGCAUCUCAAUAGCCAGAUACAGGCAAAAAGAUACAGAAGGACAUCUACUGGCUUCAUGGUUGGUUCGAGCAGCUGUAACAAAAAGAGCUCACUGCAUACUCCAUCUUCGAAAAAGUAACUGCAAUAGAACAUGUUCAAUGCAGGAAAGAAAACAUAGUUUAGAAUUUAGUCAUUUCGAACGCAGUAUACUAGUGCAAAGUGGCCUUUACAGUUUGAAAAAGAAAAGAAAAGUGUGUAACCUGUAUGAAAUUCCGCAAUUCUGUUCUGAACUAACAGCCGCAGCAAGUUGAGACCUAAAAUGGGAUACUCUUGUCCGGACGGAGGAAUCACCCCCCUGCAAUCGAAGAACUGAUUAGCUAAAAACAUGACCAAACUCAAACAGAUAUGUGAAUUUCAGUUCUCAGACGAAUAUGUAAUACAUAAAGAAUUUAUAUGAAACUUACCAGGAGUAUUGAUAUUCGUACAGACUAAACAGGAUAAAUUAUGAGCAAUGGGCUUUUGCAUCAUCUUUAAAGAAACAAAUAGACCACCGACAAAAAAAAUCAUCAAAUGAAUAUGUGGUCAAAGUACGAUACGUAAAGACGAGAUCCUAAGAGCAAAUUUGAAGAUAAGAAUACUGACAAUUACAAACUUCGUCCUUCAGGAAAAUCUAAAACUCUUACCGUGGGCUGUUAAUCCUACAAUUAUCAGAAUAAAAGAGUAAAAGCAUACCUAGUAUCGGUGUAGUAUGACUUGAGUUGAAGAAAAUGGCGCUCAAAUGCAUCCUGAUCCUCCAUUUUCACACUCAAAACUACAGCAUGUUCCAAAAUAUCCCCUACAAACAAUAUGGACUCUCUGUAAGUUAGAAAACGAGUUAACAAAGAGAGGUCAUGGAGACUCCACACGAAUGAUUACACGUCAUUUGAAGAACAUGUAUGAACCAUGAAGUUUUGAAUCGAGGCAUUGUACGGCUGAACUAAAUGAUAUACACUGCACACUGUUGAAAUCCAAAUUGAGCUGAAUUAGGUUUAAAAGCGUGUAAACGGAAAUAAUCCACAAUAAAUUGAAUUGGAUAAAGCAACCACCGAUAAUGUACAUGCAAACAAACUUAAUGUAGCAGCAGCAAUAGCUACACAUACUUGCGAGAAGAAGCUCUUGUAUGGAUGAUGGAGACGAUUUAAACAGGGGUGGAAGACUAGGCAACUCAGUCAGCUUCACCUGCAACACUCAGAUACCGCUGACAUAAAUCACCGUGCAAUUCCAACUUUACUUGUUCCAACCUCUUCUUCUUCAAAAUCCGAGUCAGGUCAGCCCUCUUUUCCAAACACGCAUCAACAAUUCCUGCCUUCCUCCAGCACCAUCCAAACACACAACCUCAAAACCCUAACCCGCACCACCAAAACCUAACACAUUUCAAAUCGUUCGCCAAUUGAGCAGCAACCGAGUAUGCAAUAGAACCUUGAGCUGAGAAAGGAUGUUGUCGCUGGUUUCCGUAUCAUUUUUGUCGUAGGCGGCCUUGAACUUCUGAAACAACCGGGUAAUGUCCGCAAGCUUUCCCUCCAUUUGGAAGCGCGAGAAACCUGACAAAAUGGCUCAAACUACAGGAUAAAGAACACACUUCCGAUCCCGAGUUCGGAAAUCACAAAAAGAGAGAUAGUCGUGGAAUCGAUGAACCACAAGGUCGAAGAACAACAAUCAACUGAUCAGAAGACAGGAGAAGAAUUGUUCGGAAGCAAUUCGACCCCGAAGCUUCCACACUGGGCUCGCCGUUCCAAGCCCACACUGAAUUAUCUGGUCUGCCAUGUCAGCAUUCCAUGUCAGCUGAUUACCACGUACGCAAAAAAAAUUGAGUCAGCUUUGGUCAGAUGUGGUGACGUGUAUUGAUGACGUCGGUUCCGUAGACUUUUUCUUCCUCAGAAGAACUCAACUUUUAAAGUACUUUCACGAUGAUAAGUUAGCCUUUUGCCUCUGCGAUUAUUUUGGGAGCAGGAUGAUAAGUUAGACUUUUUCAUGUGAGGAAAAAAAAAACAAUUGCCCAAAGAAAAUCAAUUGUCCCCCAAAGAGACAUCAUGAACAAGAGACUAAAAAUACUCAUUUGUCCUUGGAAAAAGUAUGAAAAUCCAUUGUUUCUUACACAAUUUCUAAGAAAUUAUUUUAUUCAACGAGAUACAAAAAUACAUAUCUUAAAGUACUAAUUUUAAUUUUGUAUUUUCAUGAUGUGUUUCGUUUGAUUUAGUAUCAACUUGCAAUAUUUUCUUCAAUCUUUAUUUGAUUUAAAUUAUGUAUAAUAAUUGUAAAGAAUAAAUAAAAAAAACAAAACAAUACCUCCGAAUUAUAAUAAUAUGAAUUAAAAAUAAAAAUAAAAAUAAAACUUCAAUUCAUCAUGAUUUGAUAUAUUCUUAAAUACGAAAUUUAUCUGUCACUUUACAUUGGGUAAAACGUGAAAAUGUGGUAUUUUUUGUAUUAUUCUAUGAAAAUAGUUAUUUAAUCAAAAAAAUAAGUUUUACAAAAGUAACUCUUAUAUAUAUAUAUAUAUAUAUAUAUUUGUGUGUGUAUGUGUAGACUAAAUGAUUUACUUCCUAAAAAAAAUAAACAUUUAACACACAUUUGAAUUGAAAUUUAAAAAUAACACCAUCCUUAACUUCAAAUCUGUGUUGCUAAUUUCAAAUUCUUUCAAGUCAUACACAUACUAAUUUUACAACUUUAAUGCUUGUAUUGAUUUUGUUAGUUAUAUUUAAAGAGAAAAAGAAAUAAAUUGUGUACUAUUUAGAUAAAACAAAAAGUGAAAGAUCAAAGUAUGGUAUCACAAAUUCAAAAAAUGUCUCUCUCUCCCUAUAUAUAUAUGUAUAUAUAUAUAUAUAUAUAUAUAUCAUCAUCAUCAUCAUCAUCAUUAGACAAAUAUGGAACAAUCAUUAUUUAUUUGAUAUUUAAACUACAUUUAUUGUUGUUACAAAUGCAGAUUGUAUGCUCAAAGAAUUCAUUUUUUUCUUUUGACAAGAUAUAUUUUAAAAAAAUAUAUCUUGUUGAAAAACAUGUUUCUCAUAACAACCAAAAUCUUCUAAUAGUAUAAUUUAUUCAGUGUACAUACAAAUUUCACUUCAGUCUUAAAAAGUAUUGUAAAUCAAUAAAGAGUGUUUGGAGAAUUUAAAUGCUUGAUUUGAAUUUGAAUACAAUGUUAUGUUAGUUCAAAUUACAAUUCCUUUAUUAAAUUAUGCUUUUAUGAUUAAAUUCAAGUCUUUCCCAUAAAAUUUUCGGAUUAGAUCUUUUAAUACUGAUAAUUCGUUAAAAAAUCAAAUACCAGCUGUAAUAGAAUGUGAUUUUACGCUAUCAAUUUAUUCUGGUUUUUGUUACAAACUAGUCUGAAAAAUGCAAAUUGAUUACAAGAAAUGGAUGUCGAUUACUGUCUAUUUUAAAACACAAUAUCAUACAUGUUAAAAUGCAUAUUGCAACACAAAAUCAUCAAAGAAAAAUUAUUCCAAAUCUAUUUUAUUUUGAUUUUUAAACUUUUCAUUUGUCUUCUAGAUUUAAAUAUCACUUUAGAAUAGAAAUUCCACAAUUAUGUAAAAUCUUCAGGAAAUCCAAGUCACACAAAUAAAAUUUCAAUUGCUCAAAAAGUUUAAGGAGUUGUACUAUUUUGAAAAAAAGUAAAAAAAGAUUCUACACAUUAUAUUUAUACAUAGGGAAUUGUUAAAUUGACCUGUGCAUUUACUAAAUCAACCCACCCAUUUUUUCAUUGGUUUUCUACCAAACACAAA